UUUUUUUUUUUUUUUACUUCUACUAAUAAAAAAUUACAAAGAUGUUAAUUUUUUUGCUAUUUCAUUAAAAAUAAUAGUAAAGUGAAGAAAUUAUUCUCAUUAUUAACCAAAAAUAACUAUUAAAUUAACGCAGAUUUGGCAGUUAUCAAUAAUAUAUAAUGUUCAUUGCAGAAGAGCAUCAUUUGAUUAAAAAAUAAUAUUUUUUAAUGAGAUAAAGAAAUAUUUAACAACUUUUGAGAAGUACGUAAAGUUGACUGCUGUUUAAUUACAAAUUUAAAAUUUAUAAAUUUCCUAAGUAACUUAUUUCGUGUAAUUAUAAACACAAAAUAUCAUUCUUUAUAGAUGUACAUUGCAAUAAUUCUCGUUCACACAACACUAAAAUUCUUUACUUAUUUCGUAAAAGUUGCAAAUGAUGUAUUCAUAUAUGCUCUAUUUUCUUAACACUAUAUAUAUUAAUAAAUCCCUUAAAUAUAUAGUAAAAGGGUAGUGCUAUAUAUGAACAAAUACUAAAAGAUAAAAGGAAAAACUAAUAAUCAUAGUCUUCAUAGACAUUAGAAUACAUAAGAAUUUUGAAUGCAAAAUAAACAAAAUUCCAAGCAUAUAAUACGAAAUGUGCAAUUUUUACUUAUACACGUGAAGUAUUUGUAAAGUAUUAUUUUAAAAACAAAUAUAUUAUUACAUUAAAAUAAAGUGAUGGUGGUAUAUGAAUGCGUGGUGGGGCAUAGGUAUGGAAACUUACAAGACAAAAAUCUUGGGAAUCACAUGUAAUGUAAUAUAAUGUAAGGCAUAUCAAACAAACAAACCAACUGUCUAAUCCCAAAUUUGAUUCUCUCUUCAUCCACCAACCCAACUCAACUCAACCCCCUACUUUCUCUUCUACGUCUACAAAUCUAAAAAUUAUAGGAGUAGAAGGGGGAAGAAGGUUCUGUUCCUAGAAGUACAACUACAACUACUACACCACAAUAACAUAACGUAGUAGCACAUAUACAUGUAACAUGUAUGUGUGGGCUAACCAUGUUGUCGUGUAAACGCAAUAAUCAUAACCUAUUACCCUUUGAUUUUACCCAUUUUGGUCGCUUUGGUAGACUUUGAUUCCCCGACAAGCUUUGGUGUUUCAUCCAUACUGUACAAUCUGUCACACGCAGUUUUCUAAACAAAACUAGAUAGACUACAUCGUUAUUUUUGUUAGACCCGACCUAAGCCAAUGUCCAGCGAAGCAGAUUCAUGUUGCCAUCUCAUUUACUUUAUAAUGUAACAACCCAAUGUUUUGCGGAAAAGGAACCGAAAAUACUAAUUGUUUUAUUUGUUAGAGAGACCGAUUCUUGCACAAUUUAUGAUACAUGUUUAUUCCUUGCUUAGAAAAAUUAGUGUCUUAAAAAUAUAUUAUAUUCUGUCCUUUUUUCCCCCUCAAACGAGAGGAUAUGUACAACUCAAUAUGAUAUAUGUAUCCACGGAUGAUAUCAUGAUUUCAAUUCCCUCUUGUCAAAACAAACCAACAACUAGGUAUUGUCACUCAACCAGCUUAAAUUUUGAACUGAUUGAAUGACGGUGGUGGGCUAAAAAUUUUGAAGGGAGAACUCAAAUCCAAAACCAUUUAAGAUUAAACAACUUACUGUUAGUUAACUUACGCAAUUUUUUUUUACUAAUUACAGUUUUUUUCAUGAAAGACAAUAUAUUUAUGAAUCAAUGAAUAUUAUUAUAAACAGUAAAAAAAUUCUCUAAAUAUUUAAUCUGGACACUUAGAAUUUUAACUCAAAAUAUAAGAAUUAAAUAUGAUACCAAAAAAUUUACAAUAUUCACAUAUUCUAUUCAACUAACUGAUUAAAAUCCUCUUAGAUUCCGUGGUGAUUAAAACAGGCAUUUGAUGAUUCACAAUGUAAAUAUUUAUAUAAUUUUGUGUUUACAAACAUUUAGAUAAUAAUCUAGCCAAACAAAAACUUUUUUGUUUCAGAAUUUUUACUCAAGUUAUUAAAUUCUGAAGGUAGUAAGAACAAAUGAGAAAAAGUAAAGGGUGUUAAAAUAAAAGUGGGGGAGUCAGAGUCACAGACUCACAGUGUAGUCCUAGUCCAUUUGCAUUGCAGCAAGCAGGGAUAUAGCAUAAAAGGAUGCAACAACCAAUGGGUUACUUUCCAUCAUCACUUUGGUCCCUACCACUGCUUCUAUAGGGUCUCUGCCAUUUUUUACAUGCCCAGAGAGUCCCAGACCAAGAUAUCAUUAUCGGGAUCCUGUCCACUGAAACGUUCCAUUGUUAUUUAUGCCUAUAUAUGGCUAUGGAUUCCCUUCCUUCUUCACAGGUCAGACACAUUCCACGCCCAUUCUUCACCCUCUCCACUUCGAUUGAGUGAUUUAUUUCAUAUACUAGGGUUAUUUUUAUUUCACAACUCACCAUAAUUACGUUGUGUUUGGACGUGAGGAAAUAAGAGAAAUAUAAAAAAUGAAUGAAAAGAAGUGAAACCGAACAUAUAAGUAAAAAAAUAAGGUUGUUUGAUUAUAACUAUCAUCAUCUUUUAUUUGUUAAUAAUGUAAGAUUAUUUUAUAUUAGUGUAAUUAUUAGUGUAUGACUAUUAAAUGCAUAAAAAAUAUUACAUAAAAAGAGUAAUGCACAAAGUAAAUAAAAUAGUAAAUAGUUUAUAUACAAAUGGUCUAAAGGGUUUUCACAUGACUAUCUAUUAGAAAUUAUUAUUUAUUGAUUUUUAUACUAAUUAUUUUAAAAAUUAUAUCAAUCAUAAUUUUGAUUAGUUGGUAAUAUAAAAUUUUCAUAUUAAUAAUGUAUAAAAAUUAAACUUUUGGUGAGAUUUAAUUUAAAUUUAUUAUCUGUAUGUGUCCAUAUAUCUAUGAACUAUCUAUUAACAUUUUAAUUAUAUAAUAUCAUAUAUUUUUUAAAAAUUACAUACUAUCAUGUUAUUGUACAAUAAACAUGUAUGUCAUAUUAUUUUAGUCACAAUACAUAUAUUAUGAUCAAUUAUGUAAAUCAAUUAACAUGAGAUUGUUGUAACUUAAUAAAUUAGUUCAAUUUUACUUUUUGAUUUAUAACUAAGUUAAAUACUUAGAAGGAGAAUUUUAUCAUUCAUAGUGGUAUAGCUCAAGUAAGAUUGUCUUCAUUAGAGGAUAGGUCUAUAUAUAUAAAAAAAAUCAUCAUAAAUACUAAAUUUUAAAUAAAUUGUAUAUCCAUAAAUUUGUAAUUUUGUAACUAAUAUAAAAUAGAUUUUAAAAUAAAUAUAUUAUUUGUUAAUAUAAAUUAAUUGAUAAAUCUUAUUUAUAAUUACAUGCGUUUUAAUAGAUUUAAUUUUUUAAUGAAAAAAAUUAAUAAUUAGAUUAAUGAAAUUUGUAGAACACACAAAAAUAUAAUAUAAGAAGUUCGAAUUGCAUUUAAACACCUUUUGCAAAGCAGUUCUCAAACAACAUAUAGAAUGUAAAACGAUUGGAUGGUCUUGUAAAGAUAUAAAACGGCUUUUUAGGAAACAAGUUCUCGAACAACAAAUGAUAUACACAAUUAAAUUCCCUAGUUAAAGACAAAUAAAAAUAACAUAAAGGAAAGAAGAAUGAUAUCAAAGUUAUAUUGAUUCGUCUGACCUAAAGACUAUGCCCACUCCUAGGUUUAAUUUGCUACUAAGAAUUCUACAAACUGUCCAAACAUUUUUAGGAGUAUUCUUUCUUUCUUACCUCUUCACGUGCACAAAUUGUUUUUUUUUCUUAUCCAGGCCUCUCUAUGCUUUCAAUAAUUUCAUAAAUAAAUGUUUAAGGAUCGAAAUACUCACAAGGCUUUUGUCCCCGUAAUUAUCAUUGAUUUGAUUUCGGUAAGGGCAUCACAAUACAAAUUAAGAUAUAGCCUAAAGAUUUUGCGUAUACGAAUAAAGAAUAUUCGUUAGUCUUCACAAAGGAUCAACAUUUGAGAUUAGCAAACAAAAACAUGUGCAUUUACCAAUUUUAAAUCUUUAACAUAAAAAUAAAAUAAUAAGGUUAUCAUUGUACGGUGCAUUCAUCGUAUUGAAAUAUGUAUAUAUGAAGGAAUGAAUUAAGGAGUUUUCAAUAUUCUUUUGUCAGUACUCGUGGAUGAAGAGUAUGAAAAGAAAGGCAGUGAAAAUUAACAACAUAUAUUGCAUAGACCAUAGAUGGUCCCUCUCCUACUUUCUUCCCUAUUGUAAGGCUUUAUAUAUUGUAUCAUGGACCCCUCCAUUAAUUCAUUUCUAUCUUCUCAAUAACUUUUUUUUUUUUUUGUGAACAUCUUCCCAAUACACUGGAUAGUAUACAUUUCUUUUCCCUCACUCAAGUUACCAGUAUUCUAUGAUUUAUUGUUAUUGUUUUGGAUUGGGCUCAAAGUUUGUUUGUUUUUUUGUAUAACAAGCCAUUUCGAUUUAAAGAAAUAGACAAAGCCAAUUUAUUAAUUAGUACUGUUGUUCAAAGUUUAUAUCAUAUUUUACAUUUGUCAACAGUAAAAUUUGUUUCAAUAUGAAGUUACUAUAUUCUUAUACUAAAAUAGGAUAAUAUUACUUUCGAAAGGUUUUGGGCCUUGUGGCAAGAAACUUAGUCCAUCUAAAACUACUAUAAAUAAAAUCAGUGUCCAUGUGAGGUAAAUAUUUAUUACAUAUGGUAUUACUCUUAACAAAAUUAUAACGACUUAUACUUCAGAGUGGUUUUUGUAGGUAUCUAUGUCUUGUUCACAAUAUCUCAACCAUAAUAGAGUGUUGCAGCACUGUUCGUACACCCCUAUCUCAAUAAAUGAUGAACACACUUCGAUCAAAACAUAGUCAAUACUAAAUCCCAAUCCACCCAAGAUGAUCGAGGCCAGCCUAGAUGAUCACGUAGAGGAAACAAACUAACCUCAGUAGCUUCACGUUGAUCAGUUACCUCCUUCUGGUCCUUUUUUACACAUGCUACAUCAUCCCUUGACUUAAGGAGAAGAUACCCUAGUUGUAACAAACUUUAAAGCCACCUUAUACACCAUUAGUGAAUGAUUUAGAAUAACACAUUUAAGGUAGAUGAAUAAUAUAAUAUGAAUGGCUAGGAUACCCUGCAGUGAUAAUGUGAUAAUGUCCCUGCAGACCCCUAUAUUAGGAAAUUUUUUGUUACAUAUGGUCUCUCUUAUAAAAUAGUUAUUGACUUAAACAUUACAAUGUCUUUUAAAAGUAUCCAUUUUUUGUUUAUGACAUCUCAAUCGUGUCAAACCGUUGCACUAUCAUCAUAUAUAAAAUCGAAUCUCAAUCGACAAAAAAAUACAUACACUUAUUAAAAAAAUACACUUCAAUCAAAUCUAUACAUUGUUCGGUCAAAAUUUACAUCCUUACCUCGGAGGCUCGGACACAACAAUUAUAAUUUUCAUCUUGUUUUUUUGUCUGUGACGUUAUAUUUCGAAAUGAAAGGAUAAUGCACUCAAACAUUAAGCAUUACGGGCAGGAAUUUGACAUGAAAAUUAAAUUAUAAAUGUUAAAAUAAUGAAUAAAAAAGGCGAGGAUUAACUAUUUUUAAUAAGAUUUUGUUAGUAGUAUUAUAACUAUUUUUAAGAUCGAAAAUACGUAUCAUGUUUUAUCAAUUGACUUGUAACGCGAAAUAUGAACCUUUGUGUACAGUAUCAUGAAAUACUUCAAGUUAAUUCAUACGACGUGUUCAAGAACUUUUAUUGACGUGACUAGACAUGGUGGACCAAUCACGUAGCAUAUAUACAUACAUAAUGCAUCAAUGAAAUGGAAAAUAAAAUGAUUAAUUAAUAAGAAUAAGAUGUGCCGUCUCAAUUAGCUAUAACAUAUAUAUAUAAUUAACACUAACCACGCUCGUGUUUGCGAUUUCAUUAUCACGAUAUUACGUUAUACGACGAACGGUGUCGAGAAAACAUGUAUGCCACCUAGUUUUAAACUUUCGGUUGCUUAUGAGACUCAUAUAUUUUUAGGUUUAAAAUUUUGAUUGUUUUCAUGUGGAACACUGCACCGUGGGGGGAGGGGGCAUUUUAUAAGAGCAAUAUAAAAACAAUAUUAAAGAUCUGAAGAGUUUUAAAAUUUAAAGAAAUUAAUAGAUAAAAGAUUUAUGCUCAGAAUGAUAUUUGAGCAGGUGUAACUAAUUAUAGUAUCAUUAAGUUAACGAUUUUAAUGGAAUAGUUAAUUUUGUUUAAAGCCGGAUACAUUGAAUGGUCCAACCAAUUAAUUGAAUAGUUUAAGAGAUCCGGUUGUACUUUGAGAUCUCUUUUAGAGAAGGUAUAAAAAUACUCAAUCCAAAGAUUGGAACACAUGAAUUCAAUAUUAAAUUAUAUAUUAUUAUACAUAAAAUUAGGUCUAAAGUAUAUAUCAUGGGCAUAUGAUCAUGCACACACCAUUCCAAACCCAAGGUACCUAAAAUAUAUUUCAAUUAAGUAUAAAGCCAAAUACCAAUUAAUUAGGAAAUCUCAAGAUAUAGUUAGUUAUACAUCGCUAUUAGGCACAUUACUAUAGGAGUAGAGUGAUUCAAUUACUCUUUGGAUGCUGCUAAUCAAUUUUGGACCACGAGGCAAAUGUAUAAAAAUAUUCUUAUGAAGUAUGUCAAGGUGAGAGAUGAGGAUAAAGUUUUUUUUUCUCUUUGUUUCUGGCUUAAAGUUCAUUUCUGUUUUAAGCGUCCUUUUCUUUUCUCUUCCCUUCCUUUUUCGUUGUCUUGUUCUGGCAUGUGAUUAGAAGAAUUAAUAAAAUUAUUGACAUAACUAUUCUAAAAAAGUUGUUAGAAGAAUAUAACUAUUGUGCAUUGUACAUGCAAUACAAUCUAAAGGGGAGAAAAAAUAUUUACCACUUCUAAAGCUCUUCAGAUCGAGACAUCGAGCUCGAUAAUCUUCAAGAAAAUGAUCAAUUAUAUAUUUAUAUGUAACUGGGAUCAAUAAAAAUCACAAAUUUGUAUAAUUAAAUUUAUUUAACGAGAUCAAAUAUUAAGACUGGUCUUACAACUAGCAGAUAAUAAUAAUAAUAAUAAUAAUAAUAAUAAUAAUAAUAAUAAUAAUAAUAAUAAUAAUAAAAUGUGAAUAAAUGGUUCGCCAAAAUACAAAGAUUAUUUAACCUUGCAAAUACAAAUUUGGUGUUUAGUGGUUGCAAAUUUGGCUUUAAUGCUUCAUAUAGAAGAUUCUCUUUAAAAAUAUAUUUGUUCUAUAGUAGGUCAUGAUCUAGCUAGUUAACGUCUAAUUAAAUUUAUUAAUGUUGACUACGGAACGGUCAUAUGAAUACAUUAAUUUAAUAAAUAAAGUAUAAAAUGGAAAAUAAAUAAAAUUAACACUUGAUUUUGUACAGUUGUUAUUUUAAUACUUUCUUUAUUUUAAAUUAUUUAAGGUAAUACGUGCAUCUUAAAACAAUUAUUAAAUAUACCAAUUAUAAUGAUAAACUGACUUUCUUGAACCAAAAUGUCCAUAACAAAGAUUUUUUUUUUUCGUUUACCAUGUUAUAAGUUCAAAGUAAUGUUAUAUAGUCUUGAUAAAAGAGAUAUGAGUUUAGUUUCAUCAGAAUGUAAUAUAAUGUUGGUCUUAACAAAAGAGUUUGAUCAGAAUAAAAAAAAAACAAAAAGAGUUUACAUACAGUUUUAUAAAUUAGUUUAAAUUCUUAAAUCACAUAUAAUUCCAAAUGAAACGAGAAUGAUUUGAGUUGCAUUUUAGAUUAUUUUAAAUAUGAGAAUUCAUACUUAAAAUUAGAUAAAACAUACAUUUUUAUUUUAAAAUUGAGUCAUAACUUUGACUUUUACAGAAGUUACCAAAAUAAAAUUUUAAAAUAAUUAGAAAUUUGAUUAUAGACUUAAUGAUAUUUGUUACUUUAUUUAAAAUAUUUAUAAAAUUAUACGAUAAAUUUAUGUUAAUAAAUUAAGAAAAGGAUUUUAAUUACGUUAAGUUUAAAAGUUUUGGUAAUUUCAAAGGGUGAAAUAAAAAAUAAUUCAAAUUCUCUACAUGUGACAAGAAAAAAAAUACUAACUAUCAAAUUCUCUAAUAAUAGAUAUUUUUUUCUUCCUAGCAUAAUCAUGCAAUAUUAGCUAAUCAUAAAAAAAUAUUAAUUGUAAUAAAUACUUAAAGAAGUGAUAUUUUGUUUAAAUAUUAUAUCAGUUUUCUAUUAAGGAUUUCUAAUGAAUUAUAUUAUAUUAUAUAUCAUAGCAUACUAAAAUUAAUAUAAUAUAAGAUAAAAUAAAUUUCCAAAUUAAAACAUUUAAUUAUGAUGUAAAAUUAUAUAUUUUAAAGAACCAAAUCAUAUAAUAUAAUUUGUGCAAUUGUAGUAGUACACGGGUUUAAGAAUCAUAUUUUAUUUUUAAAAAAUUAUAUAAAAUAAUAAUUUUAUAUAAUUCAAUUAUUAAAAAUAUUAUAUAGUAAAAAUAUUUAUACAUCUGAAUUUUAUAUCAAUUAUGCAUAAUAAAAAUAUUCAUACAAUUUUAAAUGAGUUUACUAUUUCAAUAUUAAAACUAUAUAAAUAGAUUUGUGUUAAAAAUACAUAUUCUAAUUGCUUUAUAUAAUUUUGAAAAUGAUAAUAAUAUGUUAAAAAAAAUAUAAGAAGAGAAGUAUAAAAAAUAUGUAUUAGAAAAGUAUAAAAGGAAAUGCAUUAUACUAUAAUUAAUAGCAAAGUUUUUCCAAAUUUGAUAGUCACAAAUAAGUAUAGAAAAAAGUCUAUUUUAAAAGCUUGAUACUUGUCAAUAUAGUUUCCUUUUAAUGAUAUAUAUAGUUGAGAUGUUAUUGUAUCCUCCUAGCCUUUGGGUUGCUUGAUCUAUGAUAUGAUAGACUAUGGUCAAGUCAACCACGCUUCAUGGUUGGGUUAGAGGGUCACGGCUCAUGAACCUAGCAUAAUUGUUCAAGAUGUGGAUUUAAAGAUCUCAUAAUAACAGCCGAUCCCAACAAUAUUGACCCAUAAUCUGACACACAUUGAAGACAGAUAUAUAUAACCUAACUUUUAGCCUCGAAAAGAGACAGAUUACACAUACAUACUUAAAUGCUUUUAACUAGGUCUCUUAACCCUAUAAACCUAUACUAGAAUAGUUAUAAAUAUACAUAUAUUGUACACUUAAACACGCAUACAAGGCUCACAAAUUUAAGUUACUUGAUUUGGCACAUUGCUUCUUUCCAGCCUAGAUAAAUUAUAAAAUUCAAUACCGGACACAAGCAACAAGCUAACCAUUUCUUUUUUUGCAACAAAUUCUCAUAGACUUUGUGGUUCAUGUACCGUAUCUACUUUAACUUAACAAUUAUGGAUUUUCGGAGUACUUUAAGGAUCCAUGUGUGUGAUUAAUUUGUUUAAGUAUAUGUAUAGAUGUAAAACAAUUACUCAUAACAAUAAUUAGCCAAAAGAAACCCAGUCCUUAAGGAGACUUGUUGGGGCAACGUGGCUGUUUCGGUUGUCCCUCUGGAAUGUCAUAGGGACAUGUUCAGUCCUGAAACUUUUUCUUCUUUUUUUUUUUUUAUUUCGUUGGUUUUGGUUUUGGAAUCGCAUGCAUUCGAGUAUGGGAUUCAAAGCAUGUCAAUUUUUUCCAUAAAUGAUUUUAAUUUGGAGAAGAAAAAAAAUAUUAUUUUUUCUAACAAAGUAAUGAACAUGUAUGUAAAAAAAAUGCAGAUUGGCGAUUCUUCUCUGUUUCCUUUGAAAAAAAGUAGAGAACUUAUCCAAUUCCUGAAUUGGCCGGGCAGAAGUAGAAUAACGUGACCUUAGAUUGAAAACUGGAAAGUGGUCCUCAAAAGAAAAUAUCAUUGAGAUAUGUAUUUAAAUAAAUUAACAUUAAGUAUAGAUUUUAUAUUAGUUGAAAUGUCUAUUAGAAUGAAUUAAUUUAAUAAUUUUAGUCUAUUAAAGAGGGAAUACUUUUAGUUGAAAUGAGGCUCUUUACAAUCUCCGGACACUCUGAAAAAAGAAAAGUGAAAAAGUGCCAAUCGACAAAACUAUCUCUAAAUAUGUUAGGACAAAGGAAAAAGGGAGUUGAUAUUUUUAUUUUGAAUAAAUUUCUUGAUUAAGAAUUAUAUUUUUUAAAUAAAAAUAUUAUAAUAUAAUCUUUCAAUCAUAGUUAUUUACAACUAUCAUUCAGAAAAAAAAGAGUUAUUUACAACUACUUUUAUAAUAUUUACUAUUUUAUAUUCUAUUUUUUGUUUCAAAUCAUAAUGCAACUAAUUUAAGGUUUCUUUCUUAAAGUUUUUUUUAAUCUAAUAAGCAGCUUUUACAUUUUUAAUGUCUAAACUCUUUUUUUUUUAAAUUAUAUGCUUCUUCAAAAAUUACUUUUUUAAUAAUUAUUUUUCUUAACGUGUAUUUGAUUUUACUUAUUUUAAAAAGAAUGUCCGCUUAUUUUUGCGUGCUUUAUGAGAGAUUUUUUUAUAAAAAAAAACGUAACUAUUGCUCUAAAAACUAUAUUAUAGACAUGCGCUAAAAUAUCAUAAUAAUACUAAUAAGAACGUGUCAAUAAUUUUAAAUUUAUAUUAUAUGGUUUUAUAUAAUUUUCAAUUAUCUAUACUACCAAACAAUAGAAAACAUUCUAUAUAAAAAAAAAAACAGAAAACAAGUUCUCUUCUAAUUCCCCCCUUCUUUCUCUUAUUUCAAACAAUAUAAGACAUAAAUUUUCUUCUUUCGUCAUAUUUUUUUUCCUAUUGAUUUCAAUCCUCAAUUUUGAAUAAAGUGGUACGGUUUUGUAAUAAUAUAAACAAUAAAUUUCAAAGAAAAUAUUAAAAAUAAAUAAUUAUUUCUCCAAAAAACAUUUGAUGGGUUAUAGACUUAUAGCCUGAAGGAUGGGCUUUAAAUGGAUCAUAGUGAUGGUCCCUUAUUACUAAAUUUCACAUUAGCAUUAGGUUGAGGGGCUCUACUAUUCACACCUCCCAGAACUGCUAUUUAAACCCCCAACUACGCAAAAUAAUUCAUAUAUCCCCACUCCUUCUCCUACCCCGCCUUCAAUCUCAUUUCUCCCCCGGCCCCGUUUUUCCCUUCCGUCAAAAACACUUAUUUCAUUGGAUACUACUAAUCCAUUAUAAAAAUGUACCAUUGGAUACUACUCCAUUUUAUUAUUUACUUUAUAAUAUAAUCAAUUGCACAAACUUACUUCAUUAUGUAUGUUUUGGAGUAAUUUUGGGCUUUGCAUUACAUUCUUGAGCUAAUCUCAUGGGUUGGUCCACAACUUCACAAGUCGGUGACCCAUUUCCAAUCAAUUGAUCACUCAUAUAAUUGUCAUUUUUCGACACUCGUUUCAGCUCAUGAAAAUUAUAGUACCCUGAUAUCCUGUCAUAUUGAUGCAACAAUCUCUCUUGUUGAUCUAACCUGUUACAUUAGCCAUGUGCAGUAACUAACUGUCACAUAAUCCAUCGACCUAAAUUGGCCUAAUGAUAAAACAACUACACUUAUGUUUUAGGCUUACCAAUAAAAAAAAUAUUUGUUAUUGAUUUUUAUAAAGUAAAAAAUGUCACAUAUAUUAACAAAAAGAUUCAACAUAUAACUCUUUUUUUAAUAAAAGUUUUCUUUUUAAAUUUGUUUUAGGUCCUCUUCCUUGUUGGAUCGACCUUGCCAAUGACUUUUCCACCUAAAUGUAGGUAAUAUUUGAAAUCUUUUCACCACUCACUCUCUUCAUUUUACCAUUGACUCGAGCAUAAAGAAUUUGUAGGUAAUCACCACCAUCAUGUUCUUCCAUUGUAUCUCACUCUUCAUUUCAUCUCCUUUGACUAUUAAGUUUAUUCUUAUAAUUAAUAGCUCAUACAACAAUUUUAUAAAAUAAUAAUAUUUGUGUGUUUAUCUUUCUCUAUCAUAUCAUUUGUUUCAUUUGACAUAAUUGUAUUUGUUUUCUCUUAAUUGCAUAAUUUAUUAUAAGAAUUACUAACCCAAACACAGCCAUAAUGUACCAUAAAUAUCUGCCAUCAUUAUACAACCAAACACACACUUUACAUAAAACUUCAGCUAGACAAAGGACUCAAGUGAGAAAACAAGUCAGCCACGUAUAAUUACUAUUAUUUCAUUUAUUUGGGCCUGUCUAGGAAGACCGACAUGGGCUUCAAAGUGGGUGGUACUACGUUUUCUACCAAAACCAACCUAAUCAAUUUAACAUUGAACUGGGACUUGGAUCGCAUGACCCGGUCAGCAGGUAACAGGUACAGUACAUAGAAAAAAUAAUAGUCAGCACAAGCAGGAAACCAAACGUGAAAAGGACAUUUAAUGGGCAGGCACAAAAACACGUGCAAACGUUAGUAACAUUAUCGGUCCACCUAAACAAUUUUAUUUCCUUUAUUACUUAUUUAAAAACGGCAGUAAAUGACUAUUUUAGAUUCUAGUAUCUGAAUGUGCAGGUAAGUGAUAAUUUAGUCAAAAACAAAAAUUGUGAUUUAAUCUUUGCGUAAGAAGUGCAACCUUGACAUCUUAUCAUUAGUUUCAUAUGAUUAUUUUUAAUUAAAUAUAAUAUUUAAGGAUAAUUUGAUAUUAUAUUGUAUUUUUAAUAAUUAAUUUAAUAUUGCUAUAAAAAUUUAAGUAUUAAUUUAUUAUCAAGCUAUACGCAUAGUAUAAUCAUUGUAAUUUUUAUAUGUUAUUAAAUUAAAAUUUAUAUUUUGUAAGGAUUUAAUUAUCAUCCAUAUGACAAAAUGGUCAUUCACCAAUUUAAAAAAAAAAAAAUCUGAGGAAGAAUUAUUUGGCACACGUUAGCCUGCGACACAUGUUGAGAAACGAGUUGGGUGUGUUUGAAACUUGAUGUUAAAGUGUGAAGGGACAAGGAAACAUAGAGUCUCGUUGGUUCAAUACACUUGUGCAAUUUGGCCACUAUGAACACAGGGCUUGCUGCAGGUGCAGCCUUGCUUGCACUCUUGGCUAUCACCUUCUCCUUGUUGAGCCCUCAAACCCUGUUUUCUCCGCCUGAGAUUCCGGGCUCGAAGGACCACCUUCACGCUGCUCGGUUACUCCAUGUCACCGGAGCCGUCGGGCCGGAGAGUCUUGUCUUCGACGCUGACGGCGGAGGGCCCUACACCGGCGUCGCCGAUGGCCGGAUUCUCAAGUGGGAAGGGGAAGAGCGAGGUUGGACUGAAUUUGCUGUCACCAGUUCCAAUAGGUACUUUUUUUUAUAAUUCUUUAUAGUUUAUAAGGUUUUAAUAAACGGUCUUGCCAUCUUGUUUUAGGCGUUUUUUAACUGUUCGUGACCGCAUCCUCUGCAUUUGUUCGUGAUGUCAAUUAACGUGACGAAAUCCCUACGCGACCCGAUAUUUAACACCUUUAUAUUAUUACUAUUACAACCCCUUUUGGUGUUUACGCUUUCUUUAUCAUGUUAUUGUGUUGCUGAGGGUUUAAUUGGUUUUUUAGAAUGAAGGUUUUAUUUUUACGUUAGAGUGUCAACUUUGGAUACCUAAUUUUUGGUGGGUUGGGUUGGGGUGGUUGUAGUUCGUUUGAAUUGGACAAGGAAUUGAGCAUGGAUGAUUGGAUUGAGUCAUUGAGAAUGAUUUGUCUUUACUAUUUUUAACCAUGAGGAUUGCAUAUUUUAAGGUACUAUAGAGAUUAUGAUAGUUACUGCAUUAGGUCUUGAUUGGAUAAUUUUUUUUAUAAGCACUUAUAGGAGGAUCAAAAUAAGCAGGUAAAAUGAAUUGAGCUUCUCCUGUAAGCUGAAAUUAACUUAUGCUCCUUGAUUUUAGCUUAUAAGAGAAACUUAACUCAUUUUAUCUUCUUAUUUCCUAAGUGCUUACAUAUAAGUUUGUUUACUUGGAGCCUUAAGAGUUAGACCAAUUUUCUGAGCUGAUUAUUGUUCCCUUGAAGAAAGGUCCAUUUACCGCGUCAACUAUUAUUGAGUAUUGAACAAAGAAAUGGGGGCAGGUUGUAAAAGUGUGAAGCACCUUUGUUGUAGCAGCAUGCUUUUUCUGAAAUAAUUCAAAUUGAAGGAGUCAUGGAGAAUAAAUAGCUUUCUUCUUUAGACUUUAGCUGUGUUAUUUGUUUUGCAAACCUUCUGAUACUGGAGACUUGCUCUAACACAAUGAUCAUUAUGUCUAUCUUCUAAGUUAUAUGCUUUGAGGGAAAUUUUGCCUGGUAGGUGUUGCAUCUUAGUAAGUGUAAGGUCUUAUUUCAAGAGGCUAGAGGGAAGGUAAAAAACUAAAAACUAAAUGUAUGUGUUCUGCCUUUGGUUCCAUAUGGUGGCCAUAGCAUUGUUUGAGCAUGCAACCUUGGAUACCUAACUCCCUGUCUGUUUCAUCAAUACUCUUUGACUCUUUCAAAUUGCGCAUGAAUGAUUGUUCCUGUUAGUAUUCUGAUGAGACGAUAAUAAAAAAACUUCUGUCAUUUUCCCCCCCAUUAAGUUAUUAUUGAAAUGAAUGUUUUUCUAUCAGAGGUGUGUAGCAUGGGAUUAUGCUGAUAAUUUUGUUUAAAUGUCAGGAUAUUAGAUCUGACAUUGUAACUCAUACUAUUAGGAUACUUUUAAUUUUUCUUAUGAAUUUAAUGAGUUUAGUUGCCUGAUUUUCAAGGUCGGACUGUGUACGCCCAUUUGCACCAGAGUUGGAGCACAUUUGUGGGAGGCCAUUAGGACUAAGAUUUGAUAAGAAAAGUGGAGAUCUGUACAUUGCUGAUGCCUACCUAGGCCUAAAAGUAGUGGGGUCUACAGGGGGUUUGGCCACCGAAGUGGUAACAGAAGUUGAAGGUCAGCCCUUGCAAUUCACCAAUGACAUGGACAUCAGUGAAGAUGCAGACGUGAUAUACUUCACUGAUUCAACCACAAUCUUCCAGAGAAGGUAAGUUCAUCACAAACGCAUAUCUUCCUUUCUAUGGUGGAAGUGUGUUUGCAUUUUCCUAAUUAAUAUGUAAUAGUUCUUAUGAUUGUUCCCUAGCACUUCAGUGUAUGAAAAAUGAAAUUGAUGGAAAAACAAAAUAUUCCCUUAUUCAUAUCCUGGUUUGGAAUGUUCAACCCUGUGGUAUGUAGGGGAAUAUAAACUGAAGUAUGAGUCAAUUUUAUCUAACAAAGUAAUCACUUGUUCUGUUGUUCAACGAAAAUAAUAUUUGUGGAAUUUGCAUUUUUCCCUCAAAAUUUAUGUAGAUAUGUUUUCUGUUCUGAUUUCCAGCAUAAUAUUUUUGACAUGUAUAUUUUUGAGGGCAUACUUCUAUAUGAGAACUAUAAAAUUUAAUUACUGAUAGAAAAAAUUUAAUUUGUGUAGAAUUUUUAAUCUAAAUUUUGGCCACUUUUGUUUGCAGGCAAUUUAUGCUUGUACUCCUUGGUGGAGACAAGACCGGCCGGUUAAUGAAAUACCACAAGUCAACAAAAGAAGUGACGAUCUUAUUACGUGACCUUGCUUUUCCCAAUGGUGUUGCCUUAAGCAAAGACGGCUCAUUUGUUCUGGUAGCAGAAACCGCUACUUGCAGGAUCUUGCAGCUUUGGCUUGGUGGACCUAAGGCUGGCCAAGUGGAUACAUUUGCGGUUCUGCCUGGUUUCCCAGACAAUAUUAGAAGAAAUUCAGAAGGGCAUUUCUGGGUGGCUCUGCAUGCAAAGAGAAGCCCUUUCGCGAAGUGGGUUUCUUCCAAUCCUUGGGUGGGAAAGGCAUUGCUUAAGAUUGGAUUUAAUUUCAAGCAGCUGCACACAUCAUUUGCAGGGUGGAAGCCUCAUGCUGCUGCUGUAAAGCUGAGUGAUAAAGGAGAGAUAUUAGAAGUCUUGGAAGAUUGUGAUGGGAAGACCUUGAAGUUCAUCAGUGAAGUGGAAGAGAAAGAUGGGAAGCUUUGGAUUGCAUCAGUGUUGAUGCCUUUCAUUGGCAUUUAUGGUUUAUAAGAGUGUAUCAUGGAUGACUAGAUGGUACUGUUUUGGAUCACCUUUUCCAAAUAAGAUGUAGUUAUUGCGUAUGCAGAUUAUGUAGAAUUGUGAAUUGCUUUGAGUGGUUGAUGAGGCUAGUUUUUACUGUGUUCAUUAUUAAUAAAACACUACGUUAAACUUAAUGGACAGAUGCACAAAACAGUUUUGCAAAAUUCUUUCUAAUCUUUUUUGCCAAGUGGUGGAUAUAUUACACUUGCUAGAUGAAUGCACUUCAAUGAAAUAGAAGAGAGGACUAAGCAUAAUCAAAUACAGUACCUUAAGAUGGUAACUAGAGGGGAAUAGGCAUUGUCGUGACUGUUUUUCAGUAUUUCUGAAUAAAAGAAUAAAAAAUGAGGAGGAGAUUAAUAAGCACCAUGAUUGACAAGUAGUUUCUUUUUAAGUUGAAUAGGAUGCACUAGUUAAUGUGAAUCCUCUAAAACCUAUUCUUUAUUAUUAUGGAUAAAAAAAUUAUAAAUAUAUAUAUAUAUAUAUAUAUAUAUAUAUAUAUAUAUUUAUUAGAAUAAAAUAAAUCAAGAUAGGAUAAUAUUCUUAAAAUAACAAAUGAUUUCAAAUUGAAAAACAAAAUUUGAAAUCUUAGGAAUAUAUUGGAUUAGGAUUUUAAAAUAUUAUUUUAGCAUAAAAAAAGUUUUUGGUGAAUUUUAAAGAUUAUGUAAAAGUAUUAUGACUUAUCAAAUUUCUUUACAAGACUUUUAUGAUAGUUUGUAUUUUAAUGGAUUUAUUUCAUGAAAAUUUAAAGAAUUUGAAAAGACUUUAUAAAUUUAUAAGAUUUAAAAGGAUUUGUGAAUUUUUAAAAAUACAUUCAAAAUGACAAGAGUUGGUGAAAAAAAUGAUAAUAGAUGAUAAGGUUUGGGUAAAAAAAGUAAAAUCAAUAUAAUUUUUUUAAUCUUUUAAUAACUAUAUUGAUUCUAACUUUAUGUUCUCCGAUACUAACAUUUCUUACAAUAGCAUUUUCUCAUUUUCACUUAUGAAUUUGAACAAUAGAAUAGUGAGAGCAAUGAGAGUGAAAAAUUGGUAGGAGAGUUACUAAGUUAUGCGAUAACAAAAUUAAGAAUGACGGUCACAAAAAUAUUAUGUCGAACAAGUGAUGAACAUAAUUAAUAUAAGAAAAAUAUGAUUAGUUUUAACACAUAAGACAAACAUUAAUUUAAUUUAGAAAAUAAAGAGAAAAGUGAAGAGGGGAGAAUAUAUUUGACAUUUUUUAUUUCAAAAGGACAUGAAAAAUAUAUAACACACACAUCUUGAAGAAUAUUAAAGAGAGAAGAAAGUAUGUGUGAUGAAAGAAAAGAAAGUCAAGUAACCAAUAGGAAAAAAAAUCUAGCAAAAUCCUUAAAGAUUUUGGUGAGAUUAUUUGAUAGAUGAUUUAUAUUCAAAAGUCAAAUAAAAUUCUUCUUAAAAAACAAUCAAUCAAAAUUUAUAUUUUUUUAAUACCAAAAAGCUUUUUAUAAGUUAUAAAAAAUUCUAAUUAAAUAUAAUUGGAUUUUGUUGUCUUCCUUACAAAAUCUUAAAAGUUUUAAUUGAAUAUCACAAAACUUAUUUAUACUAUUUAAAAAUCAUAAUUAAAUAUUACAAGAUUUUUUUAUAUUUUUUUUAAAUCAUUUAAAAUCUUAAUUUAAUACACCUCUUUUAUAAUUUUUUUAAAAUCAUUUAAAGUCUUAAUCGAAUACACCUCUUAAAAUUAUUCCACUUUACACCACAUAGGCUUUGGUCAAAUGACAGAUAUAGAACUAUAGAAGAAUGAAGGUUUAGGCUUGAGAGAUCCCACAAACUAGGGUAGGAUGACCAAAACUUGGGAGAAGUUAGAAAUAAGAGUGGCUACCAUAUAAUUGGAUAAAUUUUUAGAUUCACUAUUCCUCUCUAUGGAUAAAUUAGAAUAACGUUUUUUUUAAAAUAAAAUCUUUGACAAGAGUGUUAGGAAAAAUAUUUUUUUUAUAAAAUACCCUCAAUUAUGAAUUAGUUUUCUAAGUUCAAAAAAUAAUAGGUGGAACAUAUUAAUCUUUAAGCUAUUUGAGAGUUUAACUUUGUCUUGUAUGAAGAUAAUUUUGAGAAUCUUACUUUGUUUUUUUUUUACCUUCAUAACCAAUAAAAAUUAAAGCCACAAAUAUAAUACUAAUAAAAGAGAUUAAAAGAAUUAAAGUAAAUAAAAACAUUUGAAAAAAAGAGAUUGUCUUAUUAACGUUAAAGGUAAUUUUGAAAAAAAAUAUAAAAUUAAAUAAAUUUAAUACUAUUAAUUAAAUUAACUAUUUUUAAUUAUAAUAAGUAAUUAAUUGAGUCUGGAUGAGAACCAAUAGUUAGAAUAUAAAAAAUGCUAUAGUUGUCUGUUUGGCGUACAGCUUAUUGGUGAGGAUGGGAAAGGAAAUAAAAUACCAUAGUUUUAAUACUUUUGGAAGACAGGGUGGGGCCAAAUUAUCGUUUUCAGCUUUCUCUUCCUUAAUUUAAUUGAUUUGUCAUGUUAUCAGUUUCUUGCCUGGUUGGAUCAGAUGAUUGAGGUCAAUGCCAAAUUGAAACAUAAUUCCAUUCCAUGAAUAGUUCAGUAAUUCAUAAACCUAUUUUUUUUUAAUUUCCUGAUUUAUCAGGAAAAUAAAUAAAAUUUAAUCCAAAAUUAUUUUCAUCAAAGAUUAAUUUUAGAUAAUAUUCAAUUUUAACUUUAAUAUAUUAAUUACUUGUGUUUAAUUACUUUAUUUUCACAAUUUCAUAAUCUAUUGUGAAAACAAGUAGGUUAAAUUUUUAAUUUUUUAGUUAAAAUUCUAAUCAAACAUGAUUACUAGCUAACAAUACCAACUGCAUACUAUUAAUCAGUUUAGAAACAUAAUUAAUAUUUUCUUUUUUGUAUUUAUACUCUUAAGUUCAGGAACGGAGCCAAACGGAAAAAUUAAAAGAGGUUAAUUAUAAAAAUUAAAGACUUAAUUGUAUUUUUUGUUUUUUAUUAUGUCAUUUCACAAAUUUACUCUCCUUAUUUUAAGCAUUUUUUAUAUUUAUAACUAUUUUAAUUGUGUUACAAAUUUAUUUUAGUAGCCUUUGACUUAUAAUGUUUUACUAAUUUGAUCAAACAAAUCAUAUUAAUUAUCAUGCAUGUUGAAUAAAAUCAUUUAAUUAUAAUGUAAAAUAAUUUUUAAUUUGUCAUAAGUUUUUAUCUCCACUCAUUUAUAAUAUCUAUAUAAAAUCAAUUCUUAAUUUUAUAUUAAUACAAGAUAAUAAAAUAUCUUGUUCUUUAAUGACUAAUUAUUUAUUUUAUUUAAUAUUUAGUUGGUUCAUUAAAUAUCACUUUAGACAUCUCAUCAAUUUUUUUAAUCCAAAUUAUGAAUAAAAAUAGCAUAAUAAUCAAAUUAACUUAUUAACACACUAUUAGUGCUGAAGUUUAAUUAAAACAUAUUAUUAUAAAAAUUAAAAAAUAGGAGUUUAAUUUCUUUGCAAUGAUAUUGUAAAAUAAGCCAAUAGAAAAUUAAAUUUAAUGAUCAUGCAUUAUUAUUGUAAAAUAAGUUUGUAUUCUCAUUUAAUCACAAAAUAUUCGAUGAUAUGAUUUUUUAAAAUAGUCAUAAUAAAUAUCAAUAAAUUUUUCAUAUAUAUAUUGAUGAUGAUAUAAAAUUGUUUUGUAUAUCAAUGCAUAACUUAUUUUUGCUAUAAAAUUAGGUUAAAUUAUUUUUUGUUCAUCCAAUUUAUUUUUUAGAUUCAAUUUGGUUCUACCAUCUAAAUUAGGUCAAUGAAGUUAAAAAAUCGCAUUUUAUUUAAUUUAAAAAUAAUUUAACUUAAACACCACUCAGUGGUUUUAAUUUAUCACAAAACACAUAUUUUCAAACACUAUGAAUUUAAUCUACACGAAAUGAUUAAAUUGAAUCAAUUUUAAAAAUUUAAAAAUAAAAUUGAUUAAAAAAAAUGAAAAGACUUAAUCAAACUUAAAUAAUAAACUAAAGGACCAAAACACAAACUUAACCAUAAAAUUAUAAUAAAUUUAUAAAAAUUAAUGAACUUAUCAAUAAUAAACAGUUUUUUAUUUUUUUUUUAAAGAAGGACGAUAGAAAAAUUCUUUACGCUCUCAAUAUAUAGUUAUUUUUCUAAAAAAUAGUUUAUCAAAUUUAUCGGGUUGAUUCAAGUUGAAAAAAAGAUAAACACUAAAAUGGAGUCGAGUAUAAUUAAAUUUUAAUUUGUUUAAUGCAUAGUUAUAUCCAAAGACUUUAUUCAUUAAUUUAUUCAAUCAUAAAAUAGUAAAUAAAAAAACAAAUCGUAGAAGAGUAAUGCUCGGAGAGGAUUCGGCGACUUUGUGAUUGAUUGUGACGCCAAACCAAAGCCACCGUACCGUGACUUUCCUAUUUUUAGGUCAUUGAGUUAAUUCUUGAUAAUCUAAAUUUUGUCAUUUGUUUUAAAAUAUAUCAUUAAUUUAAUUUAAAAUAAUAAAAUAUUAUUAAGUGUAUAGAUUAAUUAACAUAAAAUUAUUUUUAUUUUAACUAAUAAUCGCGAAUAAUGUUCAGUUUGUCAAAAAAACUGACUGUUAAUAAAUUGUCAGAAAUUUUCCAGCAAGAUUCUUUUUAGUUUAAGUCUUUAAGAGUUGUCACAAAAUUUUUGACGAUUUUUUUAUCCACUUCUUCAAUAUCUUUAAUGAGAAAUAAUUUUACUUUAAUUAGAUAAAAUUUCUAAAAAUGAUAAAAUGUUUCUGUACAUAUCAUUAGUUAAAGUUAAACUGAAAUAAUUUUAUAUUAAUUAAUCUACAAGUUCAAUAAUAUUUUUGUAUGGCACACAUUACUUUUGAUUUCAAACACUUAACAAACAUCUCUUACUUCCCUCUACCUAUCAAACAUUUUCCAUCAUAAAAAUAAUGUGGUAAAUUAUUUAUUAUGCAUCUGAAUUUAAUGUUAGUUUACAUGAAAUCCUCGGAUAGGUCAGAAUCCGCAGCUUAGCGCAGGCAUUGAUAUUGCGCUAUUGCCAUUAGUGGCACCAAACCAAACAAACAACAAUUCUCGCCACUUAUCCUUCUCCUCUCCUCUCUCUCUCUCUAAUAUCGACCAUGAGGCGCCAGCAGCUACACUUCGCGGCAGUUGUCGCGGCGAUUGUCGUCACCGCUUGGGUUGCGCACAUGCGCGGCGGGGUUGGCCAAUCGGAGGCCAAGGGUUGGCAGUUCGAGGCCGUUCCGAUUGACGGCGCCGUCGGACCGGAGAGCUUCUCCUUCGAUCCUCGCGGCGAAGGCCCUUACACCGGCGUUUCUGACGGUAGAAUCAUCAAAUGGCACCAAACGCAGAAUCGUUGGCUCAACUUUUCCGCUAUUGCUUCUUCUUCACACUGGUGCGCCUUCUCUCUCUUUCUCUCUCUUCAUUUCAAAAAUUGGAAACCUACUGGUGAAGUUGAUUGCCUGCCUUAUUUAAACUUGUAAACCUACUGGUGUGGACUCAUGGUUAUAUUUAAACACAGGCCAAAAUAACUAAACAUUCAAAUUACGUCAUACUUUGAAACAUAUUAAAUCAAACCUUUGAAAAUUACUUCUAUUACUAGCUAACAAAUCAAUCAAUAAAUAAAUAAGACCAAAUUCACAUGUUAUAACUAAGGGAUCUAAUUUAAUUGGUUAAAUAAAAUGUAUGAGUGUAAUUUUGUAAAUCUUGUUUAAUUCUUAUGGAUUAAAAAAAUUCAGAUGUUGUAAUUAAGAGUUGGUUCAUAUUGAGGGCUUCUAAAGACGCAUUUGUUUCUAUAAGCACGAUAGGAAUGCAGAGUUGGUGAAUGUUUCUAGUUUUUAUGAGUGACAAAUUGACAUACCAGAUGUUCAAACUUUUGUUUCUCCAAGCAUCAUAGGAAUGCAGGUUGCUGAAUCUUUUUUAUCUUUUGAGUGACAAAUUGACAUUCUAGUUGUUCAAACUAUUUUAUUUCCCUUCUUGUGCGAGGGGAGACGCCUAAGACCACUUUUCCUUUUCAUCAGAGUCUGACUUUUUAAAUUUUUUUUGCUUCUAAUUAAUCGAUGACGAUAUAUCCUCUCAAAACAAAAACUUUUUCCCUUCAAAAGUUGGAUAAUACUAAAAUUAUAUAUAGCCUAAGAAGUAAGAAUAGAUACAGUGCAUAGCCUUAGGGUGAUUUAGCCUUUUAUCAUACGACUGGCAAUAUUUGCUAUCAUUUCUUAUUCAUCAUAUUAAAAGUUGAGGUUGAAUAAUUUUUUUAUCAAUUAAAUAUGAAUAUAUUAAAACUUUAAUUAUUAUAUAUAUACAGUGACGAAUCCAAGACCCUAAGUCAGUGGGAUAAAUUAUAAAAAAUAAAAUUAAUGUAUUCAAUUAUAUAAAUAUAGAUAAAAUAAAAUACAAAAAUAUAAAAUUUUAUUUAUAAAUUUAAUGAAUUUUAAAAAAUGAGGGGGUGUAAGUGCACCCCUUGGAGCCAACUUAGAUCCACCACUGUAUAUAUACAUGAAUUGCAUAUAUAAGAAAUUAAUGUAUUUUUACAUCAUUUUUAUAUUAUCAAUAAGUUAAUCAAUUAAUUUUAUUAUACAUUUUCAAUUCAAUUAACUAACUUAAAGGCUUAUAAUUUUCGCCUUUAUCUUUACAUAUUACAUUAAUGAGUAUUCAUAAAAAAAUAUCACAACGUAUUUUAUAAAUUACAUUAAAUUUUAAAUAAUUAAUUAAUAUCACAUAAAGUCUUAAAAAAUCUUUAUACGCAACUAAUAAGUGUUAAUAUAUGAAAUAGAAAGUGUUAAUAUAUGAUUUUUAUUUUACAUAUCUUGGGGAGUUGCAAACAUUUGGCUUACAAGUUUCUAAAUUAGUUAUUUUGUGUUAGAUUUGAAUUUUGUUUAAGCUAUUUUGUUUGUUACAAGCACUAUACAAUUAUAUUAUAUAUUUAAAUAUUUAUCAUGUUAAGUUUAAAUUUAGUUAAAUAUUUUACUUGUUAUUUUUAUUACUAAUUAAGAUAUGAAAUGAUAUUUUUAUUUAAUUAAAAUGAAAAUAAUGGGAUUAAAUAUAAUAUUUAGGUACCUAGCUAAAGCGUAUAAAGAUGAACACCAUAAUUAAUAUCCGUAUGAAUACAAAUUUAGGAAUGAGUUUUUUGGCUACACAAAUACAGUAUAUAAAAAGUAAGUAUUAAAAUAUCUCACCUAAACUUUUAUUCAUUAUGGUCCAAAUUGGUGAAAAAUAAAAAAGGUAUAAUUGCAAUCACUUAAUGCAACCUAAACUUUUUAUUCAUUAUAGUCGAUAUUAGAGAGAGAAAAAAAACAGGAGAAAUUCCAAUCACUUAAUACAACUUUUAAGUUUAGAAGAAAAAAUGGAAAGGUUAUAGACUUGUAGUAUUGCGUACCACAACCGCAUAUUGAUGUUUAGGAGUGGAACUGUGAAUGCUUGGUCGAGAAAUUUUGGUUUGGUGAUGAAAAGAUAAAGGCCAAAAAUUAACGGAAUACUAUUCUUUUACUACCUGUCGAAGAUACGGUGGGGCCAAAUUAAAACUUCUUUGUUUUCUCUUCAUUCGUCGUCCUUUCUUCCUAGGGUUAAUAAAUGAUAGGUGUUUCGGGAUUUUUUCUUUCUUUCAAAUUCUGCUUUACUAUUAAAAGCUUAAGCAAACACAAUAGAGAUAUUUUAAAAUUCGAAAUGUGAGAAUUCAUUCUUAUAUACGUAUGAAAUCCAUAUGAAAUGUCAAAAAUAUAAAUUCAAAACAAAACUUAGAUAUUUAUAUUGGUAAUAAAAGGUUAUAUAAGUUACCAAAUAAUUAAAAUAUAUUUUGUUUGAUACUUUUUACACAGAUCCUAAAUUUAAAUUUUAUUGCUGUGCUUUCCUAUUGAAAAACUCACUACUGUUAACUUGCGGUGUGUUUGGUUCGUAUUUCCCCAAUUUAUAUGCGAGUAAUUAACGUGAAAAUACAACUUAUACAAAGAACUGAAAGAAAUAAGUAUUUUAUUGUAGACGUGCCUUUCGACAUGCAUCUUCCAUGAUUUGUUGUACAAAACACGAUAUACAAGAUAGAAAAUUUAAGUAUUUUAGAAAAUUUGCAUCCAUUGGAGGAUAGGAAAGAGAAGAGAGAGAAGUGUGGAAUAAGAUAAAUGAUGAUCUGAUGAAAAAAAAAAUAGAAAACAAAUUUAAAUAGGGUUUCAAAAACUAGUAUGGAAAGAAAUUAUUUUAUGAUAGAAUGAGUAGUUGUAUAACUCAAGGAAAAAAAAAAAACAAGAACCCAUUAUCAAACAACAUGUGUCGUAAUUAUGGGAAGGUUGAUAAGGUUGUAUUUUUGGCAGGGAUGAAGAGUGUGGAGGACCAUGUGAUGAGCAUUCCAAGAAAGAGCACGUGUGUGGGCGUCCACUAGGCUUGUGCUUUAGUACACUAUCGAAUGAUCUUUACAUUGCUGAUUCUUACAAGGGCUUAGUUGUUGUUGGUCCCCAUGGUGGCACUACUAGAAGACUCGUAUCAACAAUAGAAGGUGAACCCUUGGCUUUUACUAACGGUUUGGAUGUUGACCAACGAACUGGAGCAGUGUACUUCACCAGUAGUAGUUCAAAAUAUCCGAGGAGGUAAAUAAUUCUCAAUAAAAAAUAAUACUCAUGUUCUCAACUAGUAAUUAAUACCAAAGUCCCUAAUUAUGUAUUGUUUGCAUGCGCACUUCAUAUUCUAUAAUUAAAUUAUAAUAGUAUCUUUUAUGACCCAUCCUCCAUAUAGCUAAAUUAUUAAUUAAUUGGUGGAUUUAGAAAAUUAAUGGAUGUCUAUCAUGAAAAUUCAAGCCACUAAUUAUUAUUAGUGAUCAUCCAUGUGCAACUCCAAAAGUGCACAUGAGCACUAGCAUAUUUAAAUGAAAUCCAAAAGUUCGAACAACCUUCUUUUGCAUUUUCCUUUUCUCAUUGUUGAAUCAUUUUAUUCCAUAUUAAAGUGAAUUUUUAAUCAAAGACUUUUGGAUCCUUAUUUUUACAUUAAAAAAUGGGACUAAAAGCAAUUGAUGCCUCUAUCUUUAUCUUUUUCUUUUGGUCUCACAGUUAGACAUUAAUAAAUUUUCCCUUUAAGAUUUUGAUGAUAUUUGUCAUAUGCAAAAUGCAGGAAUUACAUGUCGUUGAUCCUAAGCAGAGAUAAGACGGGGAUGCUAAUGAAAUAUGAGCCACAAAGUGAACAAGUUAGCGUUCUCCUAAAGAAUCUCUCCUAUGCAAAUGGAGUAGCAUUAAGCAAAGAUGGUGAAUAUAUCCUAAUAAUUGAGACCACAACUUGUAGAGUAUUAAGGUAUUGGCUAGAAACACCAAAAACUGGAACCUUGGAAGUCUUUGCUGAUCUACCAGGUUUCCCAGACAACAUCAAACGGAGUCCAAGAGGAGGAUUUUGGGUGGGAAUUUACUCAAGAAGAGAAAAAAUUAUCCAAUGGAUUCUAUCAUAUCCUUGGAUUGGAAAAGUUUUGCUUAGGCUUCCUUUGGACAUCCCAAAAGCUUAUUCAUAUUUGGCUAAGCUAAAAAGGAGUAAUGGAAUGGCAAUUAGACUAAGUGAGCAGGGUGAUAUAUUAGAAAUUGUUAACGAAAAAAAUGGGAGCAUAGGGAGGUCUAUUAGUGAAGUGGAGGAAAGAGAUGGGAUAUUAUGGGUGGGAUCCAUAGAUGCACCUUUUGUUGGUAAGUAUAAUAUUCAUGUUGUAGAAGGGCAAGUCAAACGGAUUUGAAGAUUUUUUUAUAUAUAAAUUUUAGUGUUUUUCACUUUUUUGUUUCUUGAUUGCAUAGUAAAAAGGAAAUGGAUGCGGGCUUUGGCUAUCAUAUUAUAUAUGUGAAAAAAAAUCUUGCAUCAUUGUGAAGUUCUCCAUAUAUUGCGGAAGUAAAAUACAGGUAAGGACACUGUCGAGUCUUCCAAUGAAAUUGUUACGAAUUCUAAUAGAAAUUGUAUCAAAAUUAUAGAAAAAGAAAUAAUUUUCUAGUGAAUGCUAAUUCAAGUACUUGUGAUGAAUAUGUACAUUAGUGAAAAAACAUGUUUAUAUGAUGGUUAUUUUAAACAUAUAUUUUUGAUUUUGAGAUCGUUGUAACGAAUGUUGUAAAAACGUUGGAGUCUACGACAACGAUUCACAAGAUCGUCUUAGAAUAGUAUACAUUCUAAGACGGUCUCCAAGACAAACCCAUCUUAGAAUGUACGUCAUUCUAAGACGGUCUUGACGCUAAAUUCUUAGAAUAUCUUAUAUUCUAAGACAGUCUUGCGGCAUGAACGAUCUUAGAAUGUACGUCAUUCUAAGACGAUUCUAAAGCUGAGACCUUCUUAGCAUGAUCUACAUUCUAAUGUGUAGCUUAUUGAUACACAUACUCGUAAUAAUGAAGGUGUAAGCAAAUGUUAUUGGAUUUUGAUAAGGUAUACACCCUUACCUUUUUAGUACCAAAAGCAUGUGGAUGUGCAUAUAUUGUUUUUUAGUUUCAUACAUAUGUUGCAAGUAGAGAUCAACUUACACCAAUUUAAAAUAUUAUUUUUGGUGUAAGUUGAUCUCCCAUGCCACGCACACAUCAAAAGUAAUUAUAUGAAUAUAACAUUAAUACGGAAUAAAUCAAUUUAUUUAAUGAAGUUCUUUUUUAUUGAGAUAACUAAACAAAAUUAGAUAAUAGGCAAACAUCUCAUCUCAACCAAACUACAUUUGUUAGAGUUAAUUUCCACUGGUACUAAUACCUUCCGGUAGCCCCAUCUUAGGCCAUUAGUUAUAGCCCACAAUAGUACUGUGGAGUUCUAGAUAAUGCUACACCUAACUUUUCAUAUUUAAAAUAAUAUAAAUUUUAGACCUCAAUCUUAAUUCUUAUGAAAUUACAUCUAGUUUUAUUUUUCUUUUUAUAAAUUGAUGCAUAUUUUAUUUUUAUAAAUCCAUGUGACUGUUUUCAUAGCAUGACAUAUUUUAUAAGUUUAUAUUUAAAAUUUUGACCAGUAAAAAAUGGAUAAAACAAAUAGAUCUAAAUAUAGAUUAAUAUUUUUUAUGAAUAAUAUAUUUUUAAAACUUAAAAUUCAAAUAUUUUAAUUAUAUAUAUAUAUUAAAAUUAAAAUUUAAUUAAAAUAAGAUUAAAUAAUAAUUUCAUCAGAGCGUGACACAUGUACUGACAAUUUCUGUCAAUAAUUAUGUUUUAUAUAAUACAUAGAUAGAUUUAAAUAAUUGUGUAGUUGAAAAAGAAAAAUAAAAUAAUAAGUUAUAUUAGAUUAAUAUUUAGAUAUAAUUUUUUUCUUAAGCCUCAUAAUUUUUGGACACAACCUUAGAAAGAUGAUAAAUAUACAAUUAAUGUAUAUUUAAAAGCUAUUUUUCAUGAGUUUUGUAUUAGUCACAGGAAAUCAAUUAGAAAAACAAUCUAAAUAUAAGCAAUUUUGUAUGAUUCAUAUCCUUGAUACUUUUGUUGAAAAUUGCAUGAUUUCACUUGGAUAUUUGAGUUUGUCAUUGUAGGAAACAUGAUCAAGAAAGUAUGAUAUUUAUUUUAGGAUAAUUUUUUUUAUAUAAAUGUGACAUUUAUUUUGAGUGGGAGAUAUAAUUUUACACCUAGAUAAAUUUUAGAUGUGGGUGUAGUAAAGAUCAAGAAAAGAUGUGAACUUUUUAUUUUAAAAGAAAAGAAAAGUCAAACAAAUGGAUUAGAUUUUUGGAAUGAAUGAAAAUUUAUUUUCUUUUGAAGGUUAACAAAUGAAUGAUAAUUAACGAAUAUUUUUUGCAUUAUUAGCCAUGAAUUAAAAGAGAUAAUGCAUUUAAAAUAGAAAAAAUAAUCAUUUUCUCUUAUAUUUGAUUAUAGAUAUUUUCCUAAAAAAAUUUAACACGAGUUAAUGAAUAAUUAAGCUAUUCUUGAAUAAGUACAUUUCAAUUACUAAAAAGUUUUAACUUAAUUAAUUAAAUAAAAAUACAUGAGUUAUUAUAAAUUUUUUAUACCGUUUUUAUUCUUACAUAUAUAAAAAAAACACUCUAAUUGAAUAGAUACCAGUGAAUCAAAUAAGUGAUAUGAUAAAUACUAAAGGAAAAUGAGUGGACAUAAAGGGUUUAACUCGCGGCUUCUGUGCCCAAAUCAAUAGACUUAGUGGCCCGUAAGGAUGUGAUGUGAAGAAACUAGAAAGUACUGGUUAAUUACAUCUUAGAUUGAAUAUUUAGUUCUAUCAAUUUCUAGUUCUUUUCAAGAGUAAGGACAUGAAUCAAUUUAAUUCUGAAAUUAUUAGCUCUGGCAUGGAUGAUUUGAUAGGACCAGAUAAGCGAAUUAGUGAACGUUUGAGUAAAUUAGCGUGAAUAGAUUAUAAUUAACUAUUGUUAUAUAUCAAUAAUUUUCAAAAUAAAAAAUCUACAAUUGUAAGCAGUUUUUUUAGGAUAUCCUCACACCUUUUUGGGUGAGAAUAAUAUUUUCGAAGAGUUUAGGCUCUCCUUAAUUAUAAGUAGUAAUCCGAACUCAAACUCUCAUAGAUUCUCUUAAAAAUACAGUUUGAUUAUCAUUUUGUAUUUGCUCUUGAUUUAUAAAUACUUAUUUUUUGGUCCUAGGUCAGAAUUUAUGAGUCUCCCUCAAUUCAUAAUGUUAGAAAUUAAUUUUAUUUAUGAUAUGUGAUUGUUGUUGACAUAACAUUUUUUUUAUUAACGGUAAAAAUCAAAUAUAAAUUUUUUGGUUAAAUAAAUUAUUCUCUCAUAUAUGAAUUCAAUGAAAAUUUUCAUAAACAUUUGGUUAAUCCUAUACAUGCCUUGUAUUGAAAUUUGAAAUAACAUAGUCUCUCUUAUGUCGGAUAUUUUUGUGUCGAGAAAUAUAUAAGAAUUAGACGUGGCUUAUUCAUGCAUAACAUCAGACCCAUUUUUUCCUUAAGAGUGGUUUCAAAAAGCUAUAAGGAUAACAAAUGAUUGGGCUAACACAAGUCUAAACAAAACAACAAUACACUAAAACUAGAUAUUGGCUCAAAUAUGUUGGACAUUCCUGAAAUAUUCAAACUUCGCAACUGAUUCUUAAUUUUUUUUUUUUUUCAUUGGAUCCUUGAAACUUCAAAAGUUUUGUGGGAGAUCCCUAUCGUUAGUUUAUGUCCAAAACGUAAUAAUGUGUUCGUUAGUUGGACACGUCACUAAUACAUAUGCAAAGUCACAUCAAAGGUAUCAAUGAUAUGACGUGAAACUUGAUUUUUUUUACUUUUAUAUUUAAUUUAAAUAAAAAUUGUCUGCACCCAUUUUUCUUUUUCCUUCUUCCCCUCUUCUCUUCUUUCCUCGUUCUUCCUCCUUCUCCGGCAAUCCCAAAACCCAAAAUACCACCUUCGUCCAAGCUAACCCCUCCUUUGUGAAAGUCAAUCCCAACCACUCAACCACAAGAGCUUAAAACCCAAACUCUACACAAUUCAAAUCCAAAAUCCAACAUCACCACCACCAAUAGGAUUUCUGCAUGUAAUUCUCACAUGUUAAAUCGCACCCAAUCCAAAUUUGAACAUGCAUCUUUGGAGCCCAAUCCUACACCUCUAACCAUGGGUUCACCUAGCAUCAGUGGCAGCACUCCAUUGAAGUGUUCAAGGACUUAGCGGUGGCAUCCGAGUCAGCGAUGGAAGCCGCUGCAAAAAGACAGAGAUGAAGGUCGCACGAUGGUUUGGGUCGUGUGGUGGUUUGGUGAAGGUCGUAUGGGUAACGUGAGGGUGAGUGGGGCAACAUUGAUGGUAGUCUGGCAUGGUAGAUCUGGGUGGUAGUGGUGUUUGGGUCUUGGCUGCACAAAGUUCUAGUGGUGCAUCGGGUGAAAGUUGUUUGGGUGAUGGAUUGGUGCAAGGAGGGAAAAGAAAGGGUUAGUGGAAAUUGAGUUUGGGUUUUGGAUUUGGGAACAAAAUUGGGAGAGAAAGGAGAGGGAGGAGGCGACAAAGAAUUCGUACAUGGAGGAGGGGCGAGCGGAGAACUCAUCGAGGAAGGGGGAGGAGGUGGGGAGGGAAGAGAGUGCCAGUGGAGUCGUGGAAAGGGGGGGGGGGGGAGGUGAGGAAGCCAAUGAUGGUGUCAACGGUGUAUUUCACACCCGUUUGGACAUCGACGUGUAGUUCAUGUGUUUGGACGUUUGACAUGACUUCAUACGUGUAUCACUGACGUGCCCAACUAAUAGACAUGUCAUCAUAUUUUGGACGGAGACUAACGACAAAAAUCUCCUACAAAACUUUUGAAGUUUUAGGGACCCAAUGAGAAAUAAAAUAUUUUCAAGGAUCUGUUGCAAAAUUCAGAUAUAUUUCAAGAAUCUUCAACAUAUUUAAGCCUAAAGAAAAAUAUGCAUUGUGAGACGAAACUAAGAAUCAAAGAGCUAUAGUUGAAGCAAAUAUUGAAGUUUCACUCAAUGAAAGGACCAAGAGUGAAAAGAAUGAAAGGAAGAGAAAAAGGAAGAGAAAGUGAGAUGAUUUUUUAGUUGUUUAAUAUGAGAAAAGUUAAACAAAAUAUUUCAAAUCUCAUAAAAUUAUAAAAUAUAAGAAAAUCAACUUAUUUAAUUAUUUUUUAUAUAGUUAGUAGGUGUAGGGAUAAGAUGAAUUGGAUAUUACAUUAUCCAAUGUUGUCCUCAUAAAAAUCUCCAAUUAUUUUACUCAAGUCAUACUCAAACUCACUUACAACUUACAAGCAAAUUUAGUUAGUAUACUACUAGCUAAGAUUGCGCUUGAUUGAUUACAUCUUUUAGGUUGUGUGUGAGAAAUUUUUUAAACUAAUCUAUAAAUUUUAAUAAACGUGUUUGCUUGUAGUAUACUUACUAAAGAUGCAAUUGAUCAAACACAACCUUACCCAAUUACUAACUAAAUUUGCUUAGUAAAUUACAAACUUGUUUAGUAAAUUUCAAAUUUAUCUUACUAAUUAAUAACAAUUUUUUUCUCUAGAUCAUAGGUAUCCUAUACCGAAGAUAAUUUUGGUCAAGAUGGAUAGAAUUACUAUGAGUAAUAAAGGUUUUUCUCUAAGUAUUUAACGCAAAUGCAUACUUAGAACUUGAACUCAAAACCUUUGAUUAAGCUGGAACAAUCUUAUAUCAAUUGAUUCAUGCGAUUAGUGAUACCCAUAACAGUUUUUAAUCACUCUUUGAAAUAGCAUUUGAAAUUAUUAUUAUUAUUAUUAUUAUCAUUAUUAUCAUCAUCUUCUUCAAUACUUUAAUAAAAUUUAUCAUUUAUAGCUUCAUUUAAUAUUACACUAUAUAUAUUUUUUCUUUCCACUUUUUUUUUAAUGUAUAAUGACUACAUAAAGAUUGAACUUAAAACUUCGUGUGCAAUAUCCAAAUCUCCCACCACUAGCCAAUCCUAACGGAUAUCUUUCUACUUUUUAUACAGCCAAAAAACCUACAAAAUUAUCUUAGUUUUUACUUAUUUUUUCUUUCUUUUCACAUUCUUUUCAAAAUUAAACAUUCAAUUACUUGUAAACCAAAGGAGAUUUUUCCCUCCCCUCUUUCUUUCCCCCACCUUCUUUUCAAUCAUUUCAAAUAAAAAGACAUUGUUUAAAACUAAAAAUAAAACACACAGUUAAAGUACGAAUGACCAAAUGUCAAAUGAUAUGAAAGGGAGCUCCGAACCAUAUUUGUGUUUGAGAAUUGAAUUUGAUUCCGCCAAAAAAACAGUUCAGUGAGCAAAUCCAGAUUUAGAUUACUUGGGUUGGGCCAUCUUUUCUGUGGCAGGUCUAGGGUUUACCUCAAUGGGCCCACCAAUUUUCAAAUCUUGUGGACGAAAACAAUAUCACCAGUCACCACACAAUUCCACGCCUGCAAACUGUGUAUUGCUUACUCUCUUUAUCCGACUAAUAUGAACCACUUGUCUUUCACUUUUGCAUUCAGUACCACAAGAAAUUAUUUGAUACUCUUGUCUUGGACCACUGCGUUUUCAUGGUUCCAAAUAGUCAAGUAUUUUAAUUUUUAAGAUUUUUUUGACACUUAACUAAAUGGUAUGUAAGAAUUAAUGGGAAUCAUGACAAUUUCCAGCCAUGUAAUAAUUUUCAGUAAAUAAUCUUUUUUAUCUCUAAAAGUAUUAAACAUUAUCACAUGAAUUCCUAAAACUAUUUUUCUUUUCAAAUAUUGUGUAAUUUUUUCCAAAAAAGUCCCUAAUCACAUAAUAUUUUGGUUCCUAAAUAUAUAUUAUUAUUAUUUAGCUCCCAAGUUAAAUACACAGUUAAACUAAUAUAAUUGAUGAAUUACACUCUCAUCUUUUGGAUAUAUUUUUUUUUAAUUUUAAAAACUAAUGUCACACACCUAUUUAACUAUCGGGGAGAAAAAUGUCUUUUACUCACUAAUUUUUCUAGUACCACCAACAAGCUUUGGAGUUUUACCAUAUGAGUGUAAUUUUUUAUUUUUUUUUAUAUUUUUUUAUAUGGGUCGUUUUCAAAUUAUUUUAAAAGAUGGAAUAGGUCGUAAUAGGUGUUAUGACGUCUCAGUUAGACAUUAUAAUAUUUGUUUCGACUUGUUAUUAUUAGUUUUUUUAAUUGAAGUCAUAAAUUUUUUUACGACUUAAUUUAAUUUUUUUUAUUGAGGACUUCAAGUCAUAAAUUUUUCUAUUUUUACGAUAACAUAUUAAAUAAAAUCAUAAAAAAUAUACAAGAUAUUAAAUAAAAUUAAUAGUAAGUAAAAUUAAUAAUAUUUAUUUAAUAAUUAAAUAAGUAAAAUUAUUUACAAUUGUUUUAAAAAAAUUGAGAGCAAAAGAAAAUAAAAUACAUGUAAUUGAUAAAGUCUAUAAAACACGUAAAAAAAGAUUACGACUUCAAAGUUGUAAAAUAAAAAUAAAAAAUACAACUUUAAAGUCUUAAAAAAAAUAUUUACUAUUUUGAAGUUAUAAAUAAAAAAAACUAAAAUUAUAAAAUUUUUAUGAGUUUAGUUUUAAAAAAUCGUAAUAAAUAUUACGACUUCUAACUUUUUGUUUUUGAAAAUAAUUUGAAAACGAUCCUAUAUAAAAAUUGAAAAAAAAUUACACCCAUAGGCUAAAACUCCCAACAAGCUAAAGGGAUCCGAAUUUAACUUCAGUCAGUACUUUAGGUUUUUUUUAAGAUAUUUCAUUGAUAAUAAUUUGGAAGAUACAAGAGGGAAUAUGCUGAAAAAGCACCUCAAUUGUUAAAAACUUAAUAAAAGGUCUAAAAAUGAUUUUGAUCCGAAUUCUUUUUUUUUUAUAUAUAUAAAAAAAUCGAAUGAACAGCCAAUAAAAAUUAUACAAAUUAAGGCUUUUUUACAAAUUAAUGAAAGCUAGCUUUGAUACAAUCAAACAUCCCAUUCCGCACAACAGUACUCUUGUUACAUUAUUGUCUAUGAUAUAUUGCAUAAAUUCCAGCACUCAUUCUAAAAAUCUCCCACUCUUGUCCACAUGAAGCGUUGCUCUUACUCCACAACCAAUCAUUGCAAUAAACAAUGAAACGAAGCAGAGAGUGGGUGAAUAACCCUAAACCAAAACAACCUUCAAUAAGUUUCUAGGUGACAGAGAACAAAAUCAAGGCUUGAAUUAAUUAUUCAUUAAAGAAAAAUAAGAAACAUGCAUGUAACGUGUCCCAGAAAGAGACCCUCACGCUGUAACAUGUCUCUGGGGGCUAGAAUUUGAUCACAAAAUGCCGAAGGGGUUUUUGGCAAGUGAGGCAUUUGAGGAUGCCAUGGGGGAGUGGGUCCCACAUGCAUGCAUUUCGAUGAAUUUGAUGGGACAGAAUUCUGGUGACAAGGAUUUGAUAACGAUGUUUGGACUUCAUGUGUGUGUUCUCUCUCAAGUUAUAUUUCUGUUAUUGUUGAAUUAGUUCCGUGGUGGCACUGCUUCCUGCCAAUAUUAAUUGCUGUGUUGGAGGUCUCCAUCAACAUGUUUUUAAAUACUUUUUAUUAUUAAAAAUAAAUCCCCCCACAUGAGCUCAAUAAUAAAAUCUAAAUAUAAUUCUUGGCUGCAUACUCUGAAUUUUAUAUUCCUUUAAACCUUAGGUUUUUUCAUUACUUAAUUAAUAAUAUUUAUCUACAAUUCAUCAUCAUUUGCUUACUUUAUUUUCUUUGAGACUUUUUACUAUAUUAGCUAGGUUGUGUUUUUGUAAUUUUAGGAAAAGUUGUCUGUGAAAUAAAAAGUAGCGAAUGGAAAUAGAGCAUUCAUAACUUGAGAAAACCAGACACAAUCAUACAACAGAUGUUGUGUUGUCUCAAGACAUUCGUUACAACCAACAGAAAUACCAUUCUUAACAUCCAAAAUGUCCCUCUUCGUAAGAUUAACUUUGAAGGUAUUCUCUUCAUAAAAUUAACCAUUGAAGGUAUUCUAUCUUGUAUUAAUAAAAGUACUUUUGACUUCUAUAUACAUACAAUAGAAACUUGAAGUAAAAAUACUUUUACUUUUGUUGAUAUUAUCUAAAGCAAUUUUAUUUUACGAACAUACUUUUGAAUAAAAAUAUCUAAACAUUGCUUAAAAAAAUAUUACACAAAUUACAUUGUAAUAAACUUAUUUUUAUCAAACUUAAAUUUAUAAUACACUUUAAAUUUAGACUUACAUUUUCAAACUUGAAUCCAAAUAUGUAACAUGUCCGAUAAAUGAACCGCAUGAUUAGAUACACACCUUCAUGUGCUUUUGCUGAUUUUUAUCAGGCAUCGGGAUCGUACCCAAAAUUUUUAGUUGCAUAAUAAGUUCAAUUGAUUCAGCUAAAAUAAAUGUAAAAUCAGCGAAAAAGUUCGCAAAAUACCUUGGUUAAAUCUCCAAUAUCGUAUCAUUCGAUCAACGCUUGAUAAGUGUUAAAACUGAAAAUGCUAAUUAUAAAAUUUAGCUAUAAUCUUUUUUAAAAAAAUUCUUUUAUAGACUCCAUAUGCUAUUCAUUUACAAUCUUUUAAAAAUUGACCCAAUAGUUCAUUACUACCUUUGUUCUUUUUUUAUCUGUUUUUGUUAGAUGGAAAUAAAAAAUGCAAUAAGUUUUAUUGAUUUUAAUAAAGCAGUUCAUGUAAUUUUUCCAACUCCAUAAUAAAUACAUAUAUAAAUUAAUUAAAGAUUAAGCCUUUGUUUGGAUGGUGAAUAAAAGAGAGGAAAUGAAGGAAGAUUUUAAAAAAUAUAAGUGAUCAAGAGUCUCAUACUUUCUCUCCUCUAUUUUAAUUCAAAUAUUUUUUUUCUUAUUUUUCUAUUUUACUCUAUCAAACCAACCCUAAGAGACAAAUAUAAAUAUAAUUUAUAAAAAAUAAUUAAUGCGACCUUAAAUUUUAUAAAUAGAGAUAAAUAAAAUAAAAAUACAACAAUUAAAAAACGGAGAAAUAUGAAUUUAUAAGCAUUGAAUGCCAACGCCCCCAUUGACCAGUUCCAAGAAGAUGAAAACGAAUCGGUAAAUGCUAAUUAAGCAGCUUCCAAAAACUAGAAUUAUGAAUAAGAGCCAAGACGAACAAAGUUUCUCCACAAGAAUGAAUGCAUGUUUGAAUUUGUUGGUGACUGGGAGCCAUAGAUACUUAUACUUUUCUAAAUAUUUAAUAAAUUUUAAGAUAUGCUUUAAUUUUGAUAAAUUUUAAAUUCAAUUCAUCUAAACUUUUUUUUUAAUAAAAAAAAUUAAUAAAAGCAGAGUCAAGUCCCGGGGGCAUUUUCGGCAACAAAGUCAAAAUCACACUUCCUUUGGUUCCUACUUCCCUGUUUUGUAUUUUCCACAUACUAAGGACCCUUUCUCUAUUCUCUAUUCUCUUCUGCAUCACCAUUUCACCACUGAGAGAACAACACAACACAUCAAACGAGCCUCUCGGUUUCCAAUGUGAAGAGAGCCAACAUGGCUACAAUCGCUGCCAGGAUUCUCGGUUCCAACUCAAGGCCAGCGGUCGCGCUCCGCCGCUUGCGGUGGCCGGCGUACUCCUCCGCCUCCGCGGUGGUGGCGGAGCCGGAGACCACGGAGGUGAAGGACUACGCCGAUUACCGCCGCUCCCUGUACGGACAGAUCACGCACAAGGCGCUCCUCGUCGACGCCGUUGGCACGCUCGUUCUCCCCUCGCAGCCCAUGGCUCAGGUGCGUGCUUCGAUGUGCGCGCCACGUGAAACUGAAACUAAUUCUGUUUAAAAACGGCGUCGUUUACGUUUUUUGUUUUUUGCUUUUUUUUUUGGUAGAUAUAUAGAAAGAUUGGAGAGAAGUAUGGAGUGGAGUAUUCGGAAGAUGAGAUACUGUUCAGAUAUAGAAGAGCGUAUGGUCAGCCUUGGGGAAAAUCUCGUCUCAGGUUUGUUUUUGCUUUUGCUUAAAUUUUUUUUGCAGAACAUGUAUUGUACGAAUAUGUUUAUGCCAGAAGCAGUCUUUAAUCUUUGUCGGAUUAUAAUCAUUAAUUUUAGUUUUUUUAUUAUUAUUAGAAAAAUUACUGCAUUCUAAAAUAGUUUUAUCUUAUUAUUCAAUAUAUACGUAAGAUUCUUGAUUUUAUGGUAAUCAGCCGAAUUGGACUCGAAUCUUUUAAACAAUGUUUUUGAUUCGAGCCUUACGGGUAAACAAAAAUGAUUGAGAGGAUAAAUCUUAUUAAAAAUGGUUAGACAGAUUGGAGAGAUUAGUUAUUUAUAAAAUCAGUAGAUAUUUUGUAAUAAUAAUUUAGUUACUCAAAAAAAUAUUAGUUAGUAUUACUAUUAUCAAGGUUUUAAAUAUUAGUUGCGGAGGCGGUUUUGUCAUGCUUAUUGAUAUUACCAAAAUAGUGGAAAAAUGCAGUCGAUGCGACUACAAUUGUUGACUUGUUGUGGUUGCAAACACUUGAAAAACCUUACCGUUGUGGCUAAAAUUACGGUCACAUACUGUUUUUAAAAUAUUGAUUGUUAUUUUAAAUUUGGAUUUUCAUAUAUGGUUAUGAGUUUCUUGGUUUGUUUAUUUAUUGAUGUUGAUAUUGAUAUUAAUAUUGGAUGUUGCUUUUGUGUAGGCGUUUAUUAAUUAUCAUGAAUGACUUUCAUGGGAUUGGAAAUUUCCUAGUUUGGAUCUUUUUGUAUGUCUAUCUUAAAAAAUGAAGAAGAAAAAGAAGAGUAGUUAGAGAUUUCGUAUCAGCUGGUUUUGCCUAGUGAACUAGAUUUUCUUUAUGGGGUCCGUUGUGUGAAUAAGUGGUUCAUUUCUUCAAACCUAUCGCUGACUACUCCAUCAUAUGUCUAAUGAGUAAUUGUACUAUUGCAGACGCUAAUAGUAAUUACUAAAAACUCAAGACAGCAUUACAUUAAAAUAACUUCAGCUAGGACUUUGUUAUCUUUUUAUGUUGAUAUUUUUAUGUAUCUUGAGUUCCUAAUGGUUGGACUUGUAAUAUGCAAGAGUUGCUCUUGUCUAGUUAGUUAGAAAGUCUUGGAGACAAGAACUGGUAAUUCACACAUAAAUGUUGGCAAGGGAUUUUAUAUUGGUUUUGAGUGAAAUGACAAGAACAAUUUUUGAUAGCUACAUUCCUAAUAGUAAAUACAUAUUGCUUGUAGUGAAUGAUCUUUCUCAGUUACCUACUUGGCGAAAGAACUAUGGAGUAAGUAUUUUAAUUAGUGAGAGUUUUUUUAGCACAAUUCAUAUGAGCCAUAUUAUCAAACUCCUAUGUUCUGGGAGUAGAAUUAUGAUUUGGUUGAGCAACACAACAAACAUCAUGCAGUUUGUAUGCAGCUUUAAAUAAUCAUGCUUAUGUGUCUUUUAACUUUAAAGUUACUGUUUCCAUAUAUACAUCCUUUGUUAUAUGUCUCUUAAGAAUACUUGAAUAGUUUGCUGCCAGCCUCUAGGUCAAGACGAGUUUGUAUUAAACAACAGCAGAAGGCUUAUCCAUUUUAGAUAUAUUGAUGAGUUUUACCUUGGCCUUCAUAUUGAUUGCGACUAAAUAAAAAAAAGUAAUCUCUUACACAUAGCUGUAGAGACACUAUACUGCUUGUCAGAUUUAGUAUAAUUAAGAUUCCUUUUUUUCUUUUACAUUGCAGAUAUGUUAAUGAUGGUAGGCCCUUUUGGCAAUACAUAGUUAGUUAUUCUACUGGCUGCUCAGAUCCUCAAUACUUUGAAGAACUUUAUAACUAUUAUACGACAGACAAGGUAGAUUACUUAUAAUUACCAUUUUCUAAAAUGUAUAUACUAUCUCUCUCUGUAUUUUUUUAUUUUUUUUUAUAAUUUGGGUAGUGUUUGAUAGUUUUGGCUGUCUAUCAUCCAUAUAGGCAUGGCACCUCAAUGAUCCUGGCGCAGAAGAAGUAUUCAGAGCUCUUAGAAAAUCAGGUGUGAAAUUAGCUGUUGUGUCAAACUUUGACACUAGAUUAAGACCUCUCCUGCGGGCAUUAAAUUGUGACAAUUGGUUUGAUGCAGUAGCAGUGUCAGCUGAGGUAAGCUAAUUGCUCUUCUCUUAGCUUUUUGUUUGAUCAGUUUGUGUUACUACUGGUUAUUCUCUCCUCCCUCCUCCCUCCUCUCUCAUCCAUUGAUGCAUACAAUUGUAUUGAUGCCAUUCGCAAUGGAGAUGCAUCAUGAAUGUGAGAAAUCUUUAGAAGGGAAAUAGUGGAAAUAAACCUGAAUCAUUUAUUGUCUCAUUGAGUCACAUCAUGCAGGAACAUGUUAUGAUAAAGAAAACAAAUCAAUGAUAUUGAAAGUGCAGAAAUCUUUAUUUAUAUAGUGUCAUUUCUAAAAUUUAUCAUUCCAGAAGUAAAAAUAGACCCAUUUUCAAGCUAAUAUUGUAGCAUGUUCUAGAAGUAAGCUUCCCCAAUCGCUUUGGAUUAGGAAGCAACUCAUCAUGAUUCUGGGCUUGAGAAUCUUGUUACAGAGAUUUUUGACCAUUGAACAAAGCAUACUUACAUUUGAAACAAUAAACUUACACGAGAUAAUAUCAAGUAAUGUGGCAAAGUUGAGUAAAUUUGGUGAAAAAUCAAAUGGAAAUUUUGAUGGCUAAAAUUUACUGGUAAAAACAAAUGCUUUAGCACAAACCAUAUUUUUUAUGGCAUGUAUUAUAGUUGCCUUCAUCAAUUUUAAAGAAUUAGCAAUUAUCCUUUGAUCCUCGAGUGUUGACAAUUAUUUAGAUUGUCAAGUUCUUGUAUCUCGAAUGCAUUUGAGCAUCCAUGCAUUGACAUAGUGGUUAAGUUUGUCAUGCAUUAAUCAAAAGUUCCGUACUUAACAUGAUUUUCCUUUUCUUGACCAUAAUUGAUUUAUAAACUUUUUCAAUUAGGUUGCGGCGGAGAAACCAAAUCCAACUAUAUUUCUCAAAGCAUGUGAAUUAUUGGAUGUAAAACCUGAGGAUGCUGUUCAUGUUGGGGAUGACCGCAGAAAUGAUAUAUGGGGUGCCAGGGAUGCUGGCUGUGAUGCUUGGCUUUGGGGAAGCGAUGUUCACUCCUUUAAGGAGGUAUCUAAAAUCUUCAUCUCUUUUUAAAGUACAGAAAUUUUAUUGGUGAAAAUAUAAGGUCAUUAUAACUAGGGGAGAAUAAAUUAUCAUCCCAAACAAGGUACCUCCCUUGGUAUUUAAAACCAGGAUUCAGGGGUUGCUUGCUUUUGGGUGCCGUUUGCUCCUUCCCCUUAGAUCCCUAAAUCCCAAUAGAGAUCUUCCUAGUUACCCAAAAGCAUAAAGGGGAAAGGUGAUACCAUUUCUUUUUACCUCCUGUUAUGCUAUGCCUUGUUGGUACUCUUGUAAAUAUAAGUAGUAAACUAAAAUAAGAAAUAUAAAAGGUAAUUGUCAACAUUAUGGCAGGUUCCAGUUUGUAACUUGAAUGUAAUCAUGAAUUUACGAUAACCUUAACCUUGUAUGAAUAUAUCUUCUGCUGUUUUUAACUUUUUACCAGUAUUAUAACCGGUUCAUUUUGAUUUUAAUAUCUGCUAUGUUUUUCAUGCCAACUUAAUGAGGUAUCUCUCUAUUCAUGCUUGAAAUGACUUGAAAUUUUACUGAUGCAGGUAGCACAGAGGAUUGGGGUUCAGGUCUGAAAGAUGAUUUCUUUACAAUAAGUUUGAUGUUAUGCGUGUAUAGAGUCCUUUAGGCUUUAGCUUUAAGGCUGUACAUGUUCUGCUCCUUUUUGCAAUGUAUGUAUAUAUGUAUGAAGAAGAUGUGAGCCUGUAAAAACUAUUAAUAGUUGUAGGUAGGAGCUUUUAUCUUUUCCAUUGAUCUGUGUUUUCCAAAAUCUUUAUCUUAAAAUUAUAAAUAAAACAAAUGAAAAAGAAAAAGAAAAAGAAAUUGAAUAAAACAGAAGUAAGCGUAGGAAGGAAAUUUAUGAACAAGUCAUCCCUAACCAUAACUUUUCACUUUAUUCUUAGGCUAUUACCUCAUCUAUUCUAAUCAAAGAUUGAAAAAUAAAACAGUAAUUAUAGCUAUAUAUACUUUUUUGGGGUACUUAUAAUCUUUUUAUACCUGAUAUUGUUAGAAUGACAUAAAAUUCUUGUAUCAAUUUUGUCGGGAUAUAUUAAAUUCGAUUAAAAAUGCUUUUCUGGUCUUCAAGUAAAAAAUAAUCCAUUGAGAACAAGAGUAGUAUGUCCAUAGUCUCCCAACAAUCAUUCACGUCCUUUGAAGGUCUAUGGCUUGUGGCACAAUACUAUUUGCUUGUUCAAUAAUGGGAGUCUCGUCAAGGUCUUGAUAAGGAAAUGGAUUCCGUUCAUGUGGGUGUGUUUAGACAAACAAGGGUUUUUCCAAGUCAAACAGAGCCAAUAGGGUCAGAUUUUUGCUUAACGAGAUAAGUCUGCAUCCUUGAUAAUAUAAAAUAUUUUGAAAAGUAGAAUAAUUCAAUUGAAAGAAAUCAAAUUUUAUUCAUUUACAAGAUUACUUGUCUGAAUGAUUAAACUCUGUAAAGUCUCAUUUUUUAUCCGCUUCCGUACUCUCAAAACAUACCAUCCUAUGUAGAUCGAAAUCACUAUAAUUUCUUUAAUAUUUUAGUAUCUUUAUUGAAUAAAACUAACUUGAAACCUUAUGAGUUUUUAUUGUUGAUAGAUUCUUUCUAAGAGAUGUAUCACAACAGCAGAUACAUGGAGGAGGAUCAACUUACCAACAUGGAGUGUGAAAUCCUCAAAGGAUUGGACUGAAAAUUAAGUAUUCCAACAACAUACCUCUUUCUAGUAAGAUACAUUAAAAACUUUUGUUGUUUGAUAUAAAAGCAGGUCAUUUUUUAUCUCUGUUAUUUUAGUUUUUGAAAUCUUUUUUGAAUCACAACACUAGGUCAUGAGAACUAGUAUGAUUGGGAUGUAUAUGAAAUGUUCAAAAUUAACAUGUUUGAUUGAAUUUACUAGCAUUUUAACCAGAAAUAACAACUAACAUUGGUUGAUAAAAAAAUUAUAGUAACAAUAAGAGUAAUUAAUAUGAAUCCCUAAUAUUUCAUCAAUGCAAAUGAAAAAAUGCAAUUUUAGUUUUGUCUGAAGUACUAAUGCCCCAUUACUCAUGAUUAUGUGGAGAGGGUUAUUCGGACCUCAAGAACAUUUUUAUAUGCGUUCUUCAUGUGCAUAAACAUACAUGGUCAUGCAUACCUAGAUCAUAUCACACCUAUUUGUUAUUCCUACUCACAACUUUGCAAAAUAUGACACCCAAUCACACCUAUAUCCAUCUUCUAAUUUCUAGAUUCAUGCACAAGGGAGUCACACCAUGUGAGGUGAAUAAUCGUACAUGGCAAAGGCCUCACAUGACGUGACCCAGUGUCAAGCACAAUCUCAAAUUUAUUUCUCCUUCCCUUUUCUCUUUUUAUUCCUUGUAUCAUUGCGAGUAAGUUCCUUUUUAUAAUAAGAGACCAUUCAUAUUGCAUGUUUCAUUUAUACUACAUGUCUCUUGCUUAUUACAUGUUCUCUAUUUCUAUACGUAAUAUAACACAUAAAUGCAAAUGUAUUUAAUUAAUAUACUUGACUAAAAUUUAUUGAAAAACAUAAUGAUAUACUAAAUAUUUAUCUAAACUAAAUAUACUGAUAAUCUAAAUAUCGUACUAAACUAAAUAUUGGAGUAAUCUAAAUACUGACCAAAACUAAAUAGUGUAUUAAACUAAUAUUUUCCUACACUAAAUAUCACCAUAACCUAAAUCUCUAAAUAAAAGUUUUCUAAACAAAACAAAAUAAAAAUGUGUUUUCCUCACAUUUUAAAUACAACAAAAACAUAUUUUUGUUGUGUAUCAAAUAUGAAAUGCAACAUAAUCAUGUUUAUGUUAAAUAUCAUACACAAUAAAAACAUAUUUCUAUUGCAUCUAAAACAGAAAAAAAUGAACUUACUUGGUUCCCAAAGAUGACGAUGACUUGUCGCAGUUUGGCAAUGACAUCUCUGAGGCUUUCAAGAAGAGGUGAAUUCAAUGCAUUCAGAGUGAGUGAGUGGGAGAAAGAUCCGUGAAAGGUGUGGGUGAGGGGAAAUGAUUAGGGUAGUUUAAGAAAUUUAAAAAUUUUAAAAAAGUCGCAGGUGAACUUAUUAAAUAAGAGUGAAAAUAGCAAAUCCUUUAUCUAACAUAGAAAUGAACCCAUUACCUUGUGGAUAAAAUUGUCUCAUCCAUUUCGUGAUACCAUUUCCGCUUCUAGGGCCUAUUCCUACUAAUGACGGACUGGAACUGCUAGGCGCACCCAGCAAUUUUGCUGGUACACCCAGCAUAAAAUGCAAUGUCGAUUUUGUCCUUUCGUAUGUCCUAAUAUGAAUUGCCAAUCCGUAUGAGGCCCAUAGGAUUUUUUUAUUUUUUAUUUCAAAAAUAUAGUUUUGGAAUUAAUUUAAAAUUAAUGGUCCAAUUAUGUUAUAGAUUAAUUAAUGUCGCUAUAUAUAAUACUACAAUUUCUAAUAUAUAUUUAAUACAUAUGUAAAUUUACAUAAUAAAUUUUGUGAUAAUUAAAUUUUAUCUAAUAAUUAAUUUUUUUACAUAUAUAAAUUGUAAAUAAAAAUCAUAGAUUUAAUAAAAAUUUACAUAUGUAAAAAGAAAUAACAAAUUUUUUUAAUUAUUAAUUGCUGCAAUAAACAUCUAAAUAUAUCAUUCAAUUAAAUAUCAUAUUUGUUUAUUUUUUAAUCACUGUAAUAAACAUCCAAAUAUAUCAUUUAAUUAUAUAUCAAAUUUAUUUAAAUAGUAAUUACUAUAAUAAGCAUAAAUAUAACAUCCGAGUAAAUAUCAAAAUUUUUUUAGUUAUCAAAUUUGGUAAAUAAAAUAAUGUAUAAAAAAUUAUAAUUUAAAAAAAAAUUCAAAAACAUAUGGAUUAACAAUCUGUUUAUUUUAAAUUUUUGUAAUACCCAUUUUUUCUUCUCCGGCGAUGAAAAACUACUAAACUUUAUUGUAUGAACCAUAUGGAUUGCCAAUCCGUAUGUUUUGAAUUUUUUUAAAAUUAUAAUUUUUUAUAGCUUAUUUUAUUUACAAAAUUUGAUAAUUGAAAAAAAUUAAUAUUUAAUUGGAUGUUGUAUUUAGAUGUUUAUUACAUUAAUUAAUAGUUAAAUAAAUUUGAUAUUUAAUUGAAUGAUGUAUGUGAAUGUUUAUUACACUGAUUGAAAAUUAAACAAAUAUGAUAUUUAAUUGAAUGAUGUAUUUAGAUGUUUAUUAUAUCAAUUCAUAAUUAAAUAAGUUUGGUAUUUUUUUACAUAUGUACCUUUUUAUUAAAUCUAUGAUUUUUAUUUACAAUUUAUAUAUGUAAACAAAUUAAUUAUUAGAUAAAAAUUAAUUAUGACAAAAUUUAUUAGGUAAAGUUACAUCUGUAUUAAAUAUAUAUUAGAAAUUUUAAUAUUAUAUAUAACGACAUUAAUUAAUCUAUAACAUAAUUGAUCUAUUAGAUCAAUUAAUUAGAGUGUUGUGUUAAUAAGGUAAAAGUCACUAGUUCAAUUUCUGUUUGAAGCAUUAAUACAAAAUGGCAAAAUUGACCUUGAAUGCUGGUGUACCAACAAAACCAGCUAGGUGGGCCUAGCUGUUCCCAUGACUAACUCAUGUUGUUGGUCUAGGAAAUUCAAGACCUACGAGCCUAUGUUGACCACAGCGGUUUGCAGCACACUUAUCUCAUCUUGUUGAUAUGGUGAUUCACACAAGGAAAAGUCAAAGGUAGUUUUUCUUGAUAUGGUGAUUCAUGAUAGGCGACAAAAGGUAGCUUACUGACAUUUGGACAAGGUUAUUGUAGUUUGAAGUGAAUAUGGAGAUUAUUAUGGAAAGAUUGUGUUUAAGAUUUGGGUAAAAGGUGUUUUAAUUUUACUCAUUAUGAAGGAUCAAAAUGAGAGAAUGUUGAUUGCCUUUUGGUGUUUAAGGCAUAAUUUUUUAUGCAAAGAGAAGUCUAAUUUUUAGUUUUGUUUCUUUAGUUUCUAGGUCAAAACAUGACUUAAAUUGCUUAGAAUUUCAAUGUACAAUUCUUUUAUGGAUUGUUUAUUUUUGUUUUAUAUGCAAAUCGAUAAAACAGAGAGAUAUCCCCUAUGUUAUCUAGCAAGGUGUCAAUGAUGUAUUGGUGUUGCCAACAAGCCAACCAAGAAGAUUACUACACAUGCCUAAAUCAUUAACAGUUUUGCUCAAUCAUGUAGUUAUUCAAUUAAUCUUUGGACACAAGGGAUCUCCUUGAGGAGAGUUAUCCACCAAGAGAGAUUUUAAUUAAUGGCAUAAGGAGAAUCAAACUUGCAUCUAUGAGGAAGAUGAAAGUUUAACUUUAAAUCUUUGACCACUAAUAUCAACUCACAUUAAUUAUGAUUUUUUUCUCAUUAUGUUUUAGUAUGACUAUAUUUAUUCAUAUAUAUAUAAAAUGAGCUUUGGUGAGUAUAUGAACUGAUUUAAAAAGUUUAAUCCUGAUAGAAAUUAAAAUGAUAAAAUAUAUAUGUUAUGCAUAGAGAUUUUUUUUUAUUUAUAAAAAAAGCAUCUUUUUCUCAAAUAUGAAAAAUCACAUCAAAUUAAAUUUCAUUAGUCGUACUCGUAUUCAACUUUGCUCUCAGUUAUAACAUGACAUAACAAAAGGAGCCAUUAGCAAAACCCUUUUUGGUUAAGGGAUCAUUUACAGUUUUAAUUACAGUAUCAAAUAAGAAAAACAUAGCAGUAUAUCGUUAAUUUAAGAUACUAAAAGGUAUUUAAACCGACCAAUAAAGAAAGAAGAGAGACAACAAAGACAUGUACUGUAGUACAUACUACGUGGGAAUAACCUGUGUAUUUAAUACAGUCAUCUUGGUUAAACGACAUAUAUUUUUACUGACUCCAAAACUGCUUUAUCUAGAAAACUGUACUAUUAUUUUUUAUUAUCAUGUAAUACCUAAUAUAACUAACGGAUAUAAUACAAGUAUACAACUCUACUGGGUCUUGCAUCACCAUAUUUUUCUAUGUACGCACGCUACGUUAUGAAAUUCCCAGCCUUAAAUUAAUAACCCCGUGCAGACCAUAGGCAAGGAAUCCAAAGGCUUGCGUACGUAUAUUAUCUAAACUGUUUAAGCAUGAAUGUAAAUAAAAAAUGAGUAUCAGAUUAUACUCAUAUUGGUAUCUUUUACUAUUAUAUUUUUUUAUAUUUUUUUUCUCAACAUACAUAUACAUAAUAUAUAUUAAAAAUUUUAUUGCUAUAAUUUUUUGAAAAUAUAAAUCAAUUAGCUUGUUAAAUAAUUAAAUAAGAAACUUAAAAAUAUAUAUUUAACUAAAAAUAUAAUUGAAUUCUUAAUUUUUUAACUUUAAUUAUUUAUUAUUCAUUUUAUUAUAUAUUGUUUGAAUUAAAAUACAAUUAAAAACUUAAAAAAUAUUUUAUUUAAAAUAUAUAAGUAAAGUAAAAUUAUAAAAAAGAGUGUAGUAAAUUACUCGCAGAUAUACAUGGACAACCUGAUAAAAUUUGACGGAAAUGGAGAUGAGUAUUAAAGAGUUUUUUACCUAAAAAAAUAAAAAAAAUUACAUAAAUAAUACAAUUUUUUAUAUACAAGGAACCAAUUUCUCACUUGCAUAGUUUUAUUUUUUUAGAUGUAUUUUAGAAAUCGGUUCCCCAAGAAUCGGUUACUAAAGUACGUUUUUUUAAAAUUGUUGUGUAUUUUGUUUUUUUAAAAUAAUUUUAUAUUUUUAAUAAUUGUCUAUAUUUAUCUUUUUUUUGUUAAACCAAAAUAUUAUUUUGCAUAUGUUUUUAAAUUUUUUGUAUUUUUAUUUUAUUUGAUUAUUAAAAUAUAUAAUUGAAAUAAAAAAACAUAUUUAACCAACAAGUUGAAUUGAACUAAAAUAUUUAAAUUAAAAAAUAGAUAUAAAACUACAAACAAUAGAAUAAAAUAUUUAAAUUUGAAACAAUACAACACAACUUUUAGAAUACAAAUGAUAUGACAUAAACUUAGCGUUGUUGGCUUGAGCUUACAAAAUGUUUGCAUUUGUUUUUUGAAUGGUCUAGGAUAUGACACAUGGAAUAUCACUUUGCAUGAUCUUGUAAGAUUGAUAGAUUUGAACAUGUAUGGUGUUCACAUGGCUUUCUUAUUUUCCACUUCUUACUUGUAAAGAUGUAUGUUGCCUUGGACCUUCAAGCACAAUCAUCGUCAUCACAAAUACCAAUUAGCUUUAUUGAUUUCAAUAGUUGUAUCUUAUAAUUAACUCCUUUGCUCAUAUGAUAUUGUUGCAAAGCAUGUUGUACUUCUUCUUUUGUUUGAAAACACAUUCCUUCAAAGAGACUCCCCAUUGGACGUUGGACUUCUUCACGAUCCAACAUAUGACCAUAUUCAGAAUCUUCAAAAUUAGAUUCAAGGUCAACAUUAUGCUUGUGUGGUGACAUGUAGUAUGGUGGUAUGUUUGUUAUUGGAGAAACAACCUCAACUUCUUCCUCAUGAUCUGUUUAGGGUUGAUUGCCUAGAACUUCAUCUUCGUCCUCAUUAAAGGAUCCGAGUUCUUUGUUAGGUAAGUCAGACUUUAAUGUAAAAUCAGGCUCAUUUGGUUGGGUUCAUGAGGUAAGCUCUACUACAGGGAUACUUUAGUAUGAGUGUGGUUGAUCCUCAGUAACACCAAAUGUUUGUGAGUCUAACAAAUUGGUGAAAAAUGGUGUGGAAAGAGGUUGAGUAAAAGAAGAUGGGUUUGAUUCGAAUAAAUUUUGAUGUGGUUGGGUUAAAUAGAAUGUCUCUUGGGUUGCAUCGGAUGUAUGUGAAACAUGGAAUUGAAGAUAACAGUAAGGGUUAGAUGCAACUCAAUACCUUUGUCUGAUAUUCACCAUAUUACUAUAAACAUGAAGAAUGUAUAUGCUUUUGUGUAUUGCGAUGGUGACAUGAUUCCAUCAUAUAAAUGGAUAAUGUUUGAAUGUCCUAGUGAUUCUAAAGUCAUCAUAAUAAAAGAGGACAUGCUUCUUGAUGCCUUAAGGAAAAUGAUUUUUUAUGCCAAUGGAGGUUGUAGAAUUUUACUUUACGUAGGUGAUGGUUGUGUCGAAUAUGACUAUAUGGAGUUCAAACGCGACGAUGAUGUGAAAAAAAUAUUUUUCAUCUAUUCAUAAUUUAGUAUCAAAAGUAUGAGGAGUUGAAUGCAACUUUUGAGCGUUAUCUAGAUAAAAUCCUUGUCUUACUGCACAAACUAAGGAAACCAAGAAUGACUGAUGUGAUCAUUGCUAUGAUGCGUGAUGAAUCUAUAUAGUCAUUAAGCAAACUAGUUAUUGUUACUUUUUUUAUAAUUAACUUGCAAUUCAUCAUUGAAAUUUUGUUACAUUUUUUUUAAGAUUCUCUUCUUUAAUUGUGUUAGUUUUAGAAGAUUAUGAUGUUUAUCUAAGAUUUUUUUUUCUUCAAUCAUGCAAAAUAGUACUAAAUCUACAAUUUGAAAUGAAAAUAAAAUGAAAUAAAAAUUAAAACUAUUGUAUUAUUGAAAUAUAUUUUUCUAGAGUGAAUUUUCAUUAUCUUUUCAUUUUCCUUUUUUUAAAAAAUAUUAUAAUCUUUCUAUAAAAAGUUAAAAUUAAUUUGUUGUUAAUAAAAUUUGUAAUUAAUCCACAAUUUAUAUUUAUGGGACUACACUAAUAUUCUAUCGGUAAAACAUCAUAAACAUGAAUAAAAUAACGCAAAAAAUCACCUCCAUAAGUUAUUUAUCUAAGCUUUCUUUAUUAUUUUUUUCAUCUUCUUCAAUCUAAAUAUACUUGGUUUCAUCUUUUUGUUUUCUUUAUUUUUAGCUACGUUUAGUCUCAAAUUAUGCCACCUAUUCUAAAUAUUUCAUUUAAGGAUUAAUUAUUUAUUUAAAAUACGAUUUGAUAAAAAUGGAUUACAAGUGUUUUUUUUAAAUAAAUUAAUUUAAAAUUAACUAACAACAUAUGCAAAAUAAUUUUUUAAAAUCAAUGAGAAAAAAUGAAAAAUUUAAAACAAAUAACAAAAAACAUAAAAAAAAAUAGUUAAGAAGUCAGUUCCUUUGGAACCGAUUUCAUUAUUGUGUUUAAAAAAACAAAUGAACAUUUAAAUAUCAGUUUCUUAGAGAAUCUUUAACACUGAAUCUUGGGGAUAAAUCUUAAGUUGAAGAUCUCAACUUCCCCAGAUUCACCAAUAAAGCACCCCUCAAUAUUUCUAUGUUGGAAAUCCAAUUCUUAAGAAAGACGUGUAUAUUUGCACAAUUUAAAAAAAAAUAAUCCUACUUGUGACAAUAACAAUAAAAUUCAGGAGGAAUCAAAAUAGUUGGAAUGUAGGAAUGGCACAACAUAAGAGAUGAAGAAGAAGAACUAAAAGACAAGCCAAAAAAUUUAAAAACAUAUAAUAAAGAAUAUAUUUACAUAGAAGAUAUUAAACAUAUUUUAUAGACCUUAAACUACAAAUGACAAUAACCAAUUUCAUAUUCCAUAAAAAAUUUAAUAAAUUAAAUUUAGAUUAAAAAUUGGUAUUUAUGUUAAUUAUAUUUUUCUUAUGAAAAUUCUUAUUAAUCAUAUUUCUAAAACAUAUUAAAUAUGACUAAAUUAUGUAACUCACUAAAUUAUUUUUGAGGACAAUAGUAGCCAACGGCAAUUAAAGAAUAAUUUAAUUUCAAAAAGUUAAAAAAUUGAAGAAUAAAAAUAUUGCUGUAACAAAGACUACAACUUUAAAAGCAAAUGAUGACAAACCUUUAGGAUAACUUGAUAGCCUUUGUUUUACUAAGAUUUACAUAGCAUGCGGUCUAGAUAUGUUCACUAGGACCGAAAGAUGGAAGUUUCUAGAUAUUUUUCAAAAUUUAAGUAGUCAAUCUUAUAUAUAGUGUUUGUAAAGUUUGAUUCAUUGAUAAAGAUUAAUAAAAUUAUUUGGUUACAAAUUGACAAUUAUUUAUAAAUUUUAAAGUAAUAAUAAUAAUAAUAAUAAUAAUAAUAUAUUAUAAAAAGAAAACUAUUUAAAAGAUAAAAAUGAAUACAAAAAAAUUUAUCUAGAAAAAAAAACAAUUAUCUCUACAAUAAAUAUUACAAAAUAAUAGAAUAUUUUAUUACUACUUAAAUAAUAUUAUUUACAUACUUAAAUUUCCAAAGCAAAAUAAUUAAUUACCUAAUAUCAUUUUUUUAAAAAUGAUCUAAUAUAAAAAAAUUAAUUUGAAAAAGUCAAGGGGGCCUUUGCCCCCCUCAGUUUGCUGUGAACAGGGAGGGUCAAACCCGUACCACACCCGACCGGUUCCGUGGCAUCCCUAACUGCAUAUGAUAAUCUGCCUUGACACAUUUAUAUAAUCACUCAGUCUGGCCAAAAUGUUUGUCAUUUAGGUUAAUGCAUUUUUGUCCUAUAAUUUUUUUAUUUAUAAAUAACAUAAUUUUUAAUCGCAACUCGUUAUUAAUUAUUACGAAAAAUAUUUUUCUUAUCGCCAAAGUAAAGGAUAUUAUUUAUUGAUAGAAGGUACCGCUGGUACCAAGCAAAAUACAAAGAGCAGAAAGUCUUUAGCUAACCCUACAAAAUAAAUAGACCCCCUCAUGGUUACAAGAUAUCUAUUACGAAAAAUAUGAAUAUUUAAUAGAAAAUAUAACUAAUGCAUAACUGUAAUUGGAUUGGAGUUCAUCAAAAUUAUAAGACGAAUGUUACCACCAUUCUCUAACUAAUAUAUUUUCUUUAUUAUUGAUAAAAUAUUAUGAAAUCAUUUGUGAAAUUUAUUGAAAGAAAUUACUUAGCAGUAAAAAAGGGUUUUGCACAAAAAGCAUGCACGAAAAGGUAAGUAAAUAGUUACGCAUAAUGCAUGAUUUCUGUUAAAUAUCUCUGUCUUUCUUUUUCCUUUAAUUUUUAAAUAAUAAAAAGAAAGCAUCAUAUUUUAUUAUUGAUUUCGUAGUAACUUAAUUUUUCGUAAGAGAAGUUUUAAAUAUUACGAAAGAAAUUCGACCGAACUUAAUUUGUAUCAACCAUCCACCAUAAUUUUUUUUUAUCAAAUGCCAAAUUAAUUUUAUAUUUUUUUAACUUAAAAUUUUCAAUAAAAUAGUGUCACAUGCAUAUUACUGUGCUUUUUUAUACAAAAGAGUGUCAUACUACUAUUAUUUAGCAACUUUUUUUAGAAAUAAAUAGCAUUACUCUUUAGUCUUUAUUUAUCAAAAUAAGGAUUGUGACUUGUAUAGUUUCUUAAGUCUUGAUAAAUUUCAAUAAAUAAUUGUGUGUCGCUAAUCACACUUAUCAAACUAUAAUAUUUGCAUUUUCAAUUAUCAUGAAGUCUUAAUAUAGUUAACUAAAUGUAAGUUGUGAUCAGUUUCAAAAUUGUAGUUCUUUUAUCUACCAUCCCUAUUUUUUCUUAAAACCCUAGCUAGCUCCAUCAUCUGCAUCGUUGAACAACUAUUCACUUAAAAUACAUAGCAGAGAAUAAGGGAAUCUUCGAGUGUGUGUGGUUGGUAAUUUUCAAACAUGUUCACUGUAUUUCUAAACACAAUCAUAUCAGAUCCGGUUUCAUAUCAUAAAAAACGGGAAAGGUUUGUCAUGGAGUCUAAACAAAAACCUUAUCUUUUCUCACUACUUCAUAUAUAAGCUAAUUCAUUAGCACCAUUCAACCAGUUAAACCUUUUUUUUUUAUUGGUACAAUCAGUUAAACAACCCCUUAAAAUAUUGUUAACAUUUAUUGUAAUAAACUUCAUUUUGUAACACUUAUGAUGGCAGAAUCAAAGAGAAUAUACCACAUUCAUGACCGAAUGAAAAAAAAAUGAGGAGGAAACUGGAAACACAUGGAUGCCACAUAGACAAAUAAGGAACUAAAUAAGUGUAACGUGUUUCGGUUUUCAUCCACGCUCUUCCACCAUCUCACCCUCUCUGCUGCAUAAACAAACACAUAGAUGCCACAUUUCAGGCACGCGUUUGCAUGUGCAACCAUUAAUUAUCUAAGUGCGAAAAUUAUUUUAUGAUGAUGGAUAGUGACCCUAGUGUAAUUCGUUUUUUACUUAAUACCUAAACUCUUACUCGAAAGAUGAAGUUAAUUAUAUUUAAUACCUAAACCCUUACUUGAAAGAUGAAGCUAUAUAUAUUUAAGAAAAGAAUCUUUUAUUGAUUUUUCAGCAGUCACUUAUUAUUUAUUCAAAUACAUAAACAUGUAUGAUUACGUAAUGGAUGAUGACUCGUGUAUAUAUAUUCACAAGUCGAGAUCAUGAUCGCAUUAUCUAAUUAAUUUGUUAAUUGUUCCUAACAAGUCUUCACCAUCAUUAUGGUUGCUUUGUUUUCCCCUCCAGUGUUCUCAACCAAGGGAUGGCUCUUAGAAGAGGAUCCAUUAAGCUAUGAUGUGUCCUCUGAGUACUCAUUUCCCUAUCAAUUUUAUUCACCACAGACACAGAUUGAGCUUGAAAUUGAAAGGUCCACUUCUCCAUCCCCUGAAGACCCUGCCAUGGUCAAAAAGCUUAGCCACAACGCUAGUGAACGUGAUCGCCGCAAGAAGGUCAAUCACUUGGUUUCUUCACUUCGUUCACUUCUUCCAGUGGCUGAUCAAACGGUACUUUAAGUCCCUUCUUUAUAUCUUUUCCCUUUCAUCUUUUUAUUUAUUUAUUUUAAAAUUGGUAUAACCAUAAUCUUUUGUAGGAACCAAUUUCAAGAAAUUAAGAUUAAUGGGUUUCCAUAGCUUCCAUGAUCGAGAUUUCUAUGAUAUAUAAUUGUCCACUGAGAUGUUUAUCCAAUUCAUAAAAACAAAUAUUGUAUCUAUUCCAAAAUUAUGAUCAGUCAUUAGGAAACAAUUUUACAAAAAAUAUUCUUAUUCUAUUUCUUAAUUUCAAUAAAUAAUUUAAUAUUAAGUCUUUCAAAAUAAUAAUAUUUGUUAGAACUGAUUCAUACAACUCAUAAUAAUUUAUGUUCUUUAAUCAUGUAAUAAAAAAAUAUAUUUGUUAGAGAAUAAAAUUAGAAUAAAUAUUUUAAUAUCUUAUUGAUAACUUGAUAAUAUUAAAUAGUAUUACUUUUUUAUUUAAUGCAAAAACAUCCAUAAAAAAUAAUAUAUAUAUAUAUAUAUAUAUAUAUAUAUAUAUAUAUAUAUAUAUAUAUAUAUAUUUCUCCCGGGAGUGUAUAAUUAGAAAAAUACUAACUACAAAAAGAAAUAUAGACCAUUUUUCUUAGCUUCACAUAAUUUUAUAUACAAAAUAUGUUCUAGUACCUGUUUCUAUUUCCAUUUCCUAUGCAUUUAGGAGUCCGGUUAAUAUUAUAAACACUGACGACAACAAAUUACCAUAAAAAGCCACAAAAUCAUACUAACAAAAAGCAAAUGAUACUUCACCUAUUAAAUUGCCAUAAAUAGUUAUCUCAUUCCAUGUUAAUUAUUGUUGUUGCAGAAAAAAAUGAGCAUUCCGACUACAGUUUCGCGAGUCAUAAAAUACAUACCCGAGUUACAACAGCAAGUGGAAGCACUAUCUAAGAAAAAAGAGGAUCUUUUGUGCAGAAUUUCUCGGCAAUUGCAAGGAGAUGCAGUGAACAAAGAUUCUCAAAGGAGAAUUUCCCACCACAACUCUGAUUUUGUUGUUUCAACAAGUAGGCUCAACGAUUGUGAAGCUGUUGUUCACAUUUCCUCUUAUGAGGCUCACAAGGCUCCACUAUCCGAGAUCUUGCAAUGUUUAGAAAAUAAUGGCCUUCUUCUGCUAAAUGCUUCUUCCUCUGAAACCUUUGGAGGAAGGGUCUUCUACAACUUGCAUUUCCAGGUAUGUUUUAUGAUAUUUGUUUUUUCUUUUUUCUUGUUGGUUUAUUGUUGAUCUCCAGUUUUUCACUAUAUUUCUUACAUAAAACCUUUUAAAAGAAAAACUUUCAUUUCAAUUCAUAUAUUAUAUUUUAAAAGUUUAAGAUAACAUUAAUUAUUAGGUUUUUAAUUAUAUCCUUAAUUUUAUUCUUAUCAAGAAAAAAUAAAAAAGAAAUGACGGUGUAUGAAAUGUUAUUGAAGUAAUAAGACAGAAAAAGGACAUUUAACAAAAGGAAAUAUAAUAUUUGAAUUUGAGAACUAAUGAAGCAGUACUGGUGUUUCUGCAGGUGGAAAAAACUCAGAGAUUAGAGUCCGAGAUUCUAACUGAGAAGCUUUUGUCAAUAUAUGAGAAGCAAAGGAUUUUCUAAUCAAACUAAAGUUGGCCCUAAUUAUGUUGAUCAAACCAUCUUAAGUGCUCUGAUGUUAAAUUUUAGGAGUUAAAGAAAGAAUGUUGUAUAAACAUAAUUGUCUUCACGACUCAUAUGAUACUCGUGACAAAAGACAUACUCAGCAACAACUUGAGGAACAUUAACAACUGGCUCCUUAAUUUUGGUGCACCAGCAAGCACUGCAACAACCUUUCUGAUCUUUGCCAUGCUCUGUGAGCAAAGGCAGUGGUCGUGCUCACCCAUGUCUAGAUGCACUAUGGGCAUCAGUGACAUCAAUCGCUCUUUGAUGUGAACUCUCGUCCACUCUACAACCACCAAUUAUCAUAGGUGAAGUCAUUUUGUACAUGAAAGUUAAAAAAUAAGAUGUUAGGCCGAUUUUAUUUAAUGUAAUUGUGUGUAAUAAAAUACAUAUAAAUGCAAAUACAUUUAAUAUACUUUUUGUUAUUCCCUAAAAAUUUAUUGAAAGAUCUAAUAUUAGACCUAACAUAUUCAUUUAAGAUGUCAUCAAACAAUGAUUUAAUUAAUUUAAAUAUAGAUAAAAUUGAGAAUUUUUUAAAAUAGAAGGAUCAAAUAUAUUUAUUUUAAAAUAGAGAGACCAAAAUUAUAGAUGAAAGAAAAUAGGAGAGAUCAAAGUUGUAUUUAAGCAAAUUUUUUAAAAAGGUGGGGCUGAACUUAGCAAUUCAUUACUUUAGAAUAGCAAACCCUUUAACUAGAAUACAAAUGAGCCCAUUACCUUGUUGGUAAAUAUGUCUCUCAACCUUUUCGUGAUAACAUUUACCUUGGAGGGUCUAUUCCUACUAGUGACUAACUCAAGUUGUUAGCCCUUUUAAAAAAAAUAAAAACUCAAGUUCUUAGAGACCUAAGAGCCUAAUUGAUCGGCGGCUUACAUCACACUUGUGUCAUCUUGUUCUCAAAAGUCCAAGGUAGUUUUAAUUGAUAUGGUGAUUCAUAAUAGGCUACAGAAGGCGAUUUAAUAUUUAGGUAAGAGCUGUUUUAAUUUUACUCGUUAUGAAGGAUCGAAAUGAGGGAAUGUUGAAUGCCUUUUUGGUGUCAAAGCCAUUAUUUUUUAGGAGAGUAGGAGCCUAAUUUUUAGUUUUGUUCAUAUAUUUUUUAGGUCAAAACGCGACUAAAUUUGCUUAGAAUUAAUGUACAAAAUUGUUGUGGAUUGUUUAUUUUUGUAUAUGGAAAGGCGAAAACAUAUAGAUAUUUCCAAUAUUAUCUAGUAGGGUGCCAAUGAUAUGUUGGUACUUUCAAUAGAAACUCACAAAGAAGACUACUGCACAAGCCUAAAUCGUAAGCAAUUUUACUCAAUCGUAACUACGUACUCAAUUAUUAGUCUUUGGAUACAAGGAAAUUUUCUUGCGGAGGGUUGUUUCCACCAAGAGGAAUUUUAGUAUUAUUAAGGAGAAUCAAAGUUACAUCCAUGAGGUGGAUAAAAGUUAAUUCUAAAUCCUUGAUCACUUGUGUUAAUCAACAUUAGCUAGAUGAUUAUUUUUUACAUUCUGUUUUAGUAUUUAUAAGAUUAUCAAACUUGAGAGUUUACCUAAUUAAACGUGUGGGAACUCCAUAAAUUCUACUCGUAAAUUCACAAGAGUUUACUUCAUAUAAAAAUAAUAAUAAAAUACUUAUAAAUAAUAUAUCAACUAAAUAUUUUAACACCAUAAUAAAACAAAAUAAUAAAUCAUAAAUUCUACCAUACUUCAUAGUAAUGCAACACUACUACGUAGUAAUUUGUAGAGGUGAUAGUAGUAGUAGAAUAUUACUAUUGAAUAUUUGAUGUUGUUAGAGGUGAAAGUUCUUUAAUUCAGGAACGACACACCAAAUGAAGGUAGGUAAAAUUCUAAAGCGCAAAAAACAAUCCAAAAUAACUUACAUUUUGAUAUAUUUUGUUAACUUGUUAACUCCUUGACUCAUUAAUAAACUUGAGAGUCUAUCGAGUUUGCACUGAGUUUAUUCCGAAUCUACUAAAAAUAAAAUUUGUAUAUGAGUUGAUUCAUAGAGAAUAAGAGGACUCAUAAGAGUUAGCAAGUUAACUAAAAAAUUUAAUGACCAUUAGUGUGUAUAUGAGCUAAUUUUUUUAAAAAACCUCAUAGAAACUAAAGUGAAAAAGAAAAAAUGUGUUAUGUACAAAGAUAAUAUUAAAAAAAACGAGUAACGUUUUCUCAAAUAAUAUAAAAAACAAAACCAAAAUUUCAUUAGCCCUACACACGAUCGUAGUAAACUUUUGUCUCACAGUUGUAAUAUGAGAUAACAAAAGGAACCAUCUCCAAACCCUUUGGUUAAGGGAUCAUAUACUAAAAGGUUUUUAGUAUUUAAACGAUGGAAGAUAUGAGUUUAAAUCUUUGAUUGAAAAAAUUAAUAAUUAAUAACUAAUAUUUAUUAUUGAUAAAAAAGAAGUCAAUGAGUACAAAAAGAAGAGAGACGAUCGACAAAGACAUGUACAUACGGACGUGGGAAUAACUUGUAUUUAAUACAGUCAUCUUGGUUAAACGACGUAUAUAUUGUUACUAACUUCAAAACUGCUUUAUCUAGAAAGUUAGUACUAUUAUUAUUUAUUAUCAUGUACUACCUAAUAUAACUGACGGAUAUAAUACAACUCUACUGGGUCUUGCAUGCAUCAUCAUAUUUUGCUAUGUACGCUAAAAUUUAAAAUUCCCAGCCUUAAAUAAUAAACCCGUGCAAACCAUAGGCAAGGAAGCCGAAGGCUUGUGUAUAGCAUGCAUCGGCACGUGCAAUUCAAAGAAAACAAAUCGGUUUGCCUACAAGUGCCUGCUUAUGACAUAUUCAUAUAAUUAUUUGGUGUGGCCAAAAUGUUUGCCAUUUAGAUUAAUGCAUUUUUAUCCUAUAAACUUUUAUGUACAACAUGAUUUUAAAUCGCAACACGUUAUUAUUAUUACAAAAAAUAUAUGGAUUUUUAAUAGAAAAUAUAUAACUUAUGCAACUGUAAUUGGAUUGAAUUUCACCAUGCAAUGGAAGUUCGUAUACUCUUACCCAGUUACCCGCACUUGUUUUCUUCUCAUUUCUUUCUCAUUUGAAUGCCAUCAAACAGAGCAUAAAUGUAAGUUGUGACUAGUUUCAAAUUAAAAUUGGUGUUGUUACUUUCAGCUUUUAUAUAUACCAAUACCAUCCCUUUUUUCUUAAAAUCCCAGCUCCAUUUUUUGCAUCGUUGACCAACUUUUCACUUAAAAUACAUAUAGCAGAACCUAAUUAAGGUGAUCUUCCAGUGCAGUGAUUUUAAAUUACGGUCCGUAACCUUAAGGUAUUUUUUCGCAAUUACAGCUACAUCAGCCACAUUUUCUCACAAUUAUCAGUAAUGCAACUGUUUUCUAGUUUAUCGCAACCGCAAUUUAAAAUAAUGCAGGACCUGAAUAUAUAUGGAAGUGUGUGUAUGAAUUUUCAAAGUGGUUCACUAUAUUUGUAAACACAAUCAGAUCGGUUGAUAUAAAAGAUAAAACAUGUGGAAAGGGAGAAAAUUAAGAGUCGCAACCAAAACAUGUUAAUGUAAUCAGCGAUAUCGUCUACAUCUCAAAUAAUGUAGAAAAUGCUUCUGAAAGGUUAGAAUAUUGGGGUGGAUGACAUGUGAUACUAAUUAAAGGCUAUAAUUUGUUUCUUUUUCUUCUGCAAGCGUUCUUUUGUAACAAGGGCGAGGCAGUAAAUGCAUUUAAUUUGUGGCUUCUCUGCAAGAAAUUAACUAAUAACCAGCCAGGUUUGCAUGGUUAUUAUAUUGUCUUAUUGGCUCCAUUUAAUCAGCUACAAUUGUUAAAAUAUUUUUAAGACUUUUAGCAAUAAACUUCAUUAUGUAACACUUAUGUCGUUGGCAGCAUAGCAGAGAAUAUACCAAUAUACCAAACUCCACACAUUCAUGAAGAAAAAAAGGGAUGCCACAUAGACAAAUAAAGAACUAGAGAAAUGUAUCGUGUUUAGGUUUUUCAUACACAUGCUCUCCCACCUUCUCACCCUCUCUGCUACAUAGACAAACACGUAGAUGCCACAUUUCAGACACGCUUUUGCAUGUGCACCUAUAUAGUUCUCUAGAACCAAAAUUAUUUUAUGAUGAUGGAUAGUAAUCCUGCAAUUAUUAAAUAUCUUAACUCCUACUUGAAAGAUGAAUUUAUAUUUUGAAUAUUCCAAGUGACGAGGAGAAACAAGAAUACUUUAUUGAUUUUUUAUCAGCCACUUAUUAUUUGUUCAAAUAUAUAAACAUGCAUGAUUACGUAAAAGGAUAUAAUGACUUGGGUAUAUAUAUAUGUUCUUAUUCACAAGUCGAGAUCAUCAUAGCAUUAUCUAAGUAAUUUGUUAACUGCUCCUAAGUCCUAAUUAACAAAUCUUCAUCAUCAUCAUGGUUGCUUUGUUUUCCCCUCCGGUGUUCUCAACCAAGGGAUGGUUCUUAGAAGAAGAGCCAUUAAGCUAUGAUGUGUCUUCAGAUUACUCAUUUCCCUAUCAAUUUUUUGCACCACAGACACAGAUUGAACUUGAAAUAGAAAGGUCCUCUGCACCAUCCCCUGAAGACCCUGCCAUGGUCAAAAAGCUUAGCCACAACGCUAGUGAACGUGAUCGCCGCAAGAAGGUUAAUGACUUGGUUUCUUCACUUCGUUCACUUCUUCCUGGGCCAGAUCAAACGGUACUUUAUAUCCCUAGCCUCUCUCUCACAAUAAUUUGUCCUUUCUUUAAAUUGUUAGCCAUAAUAUUUUGUAGGAACCAAUUUCAAGAAAUUAAGAUGAAUCGGUGCCCUUAAUUAGCUUCCAUGAUGGUUUAUAAGACAUAAUUGUCAAACUAUAUACGUUUAUUCAAUUCAUUUUUUUUAACGGAUGUUUAUUCACUUCAUAACAAAUACUGAAACUGGAUUUGCUUGUUUCACAUUUGAUCCUUUAUACAAGUGCAAGUUUAAGGGAUAGGUUUAUUUUUUAUUGUGCAAGAAACUCGUAUAGCCAGAAAUUACUUAUUAAUUAGAUGGUAUUAUUGCUCUGUGUUUUAUUUUCAUUUUUAAUUAAUAUGUUGAUAUCAUAAAAAAAUUAAUUACAUUGGUUAUUUUAUGUUUAUAAGAAUAUUAACAAAAGAAAUUAUAAAGAAAAAGCAAUCACCAUUUCUUCACAUUAUUUUUUUUUAAAAGAAAAACAAAGACAGAGUAGAUAGUGCUUUUACUAUUACAAACAAAUUAAUACAUAUCAACCACAAAACUAUAACAAAAAGUGAAUGAAACUACAUAGCUGUUUCAUCAAUAGAGAUCUCAUUCCUUGUUAAUUAAUGUUGUUGCAGAAAAAAAUGAGCAUUCCAGCUACAGUUUCGCGAGUUUUAAAAUACAUACCUGAGUUACAACAUCAAGUGCAAGCACUAACUAAGAAAAAAGAGGAGCUUCUGUGCAGAAUUUCAAAAAAUCUCAAAGGAGAUUCGGUGAACAAAGAAUCUCAAAGGAGAAUUUCCCAUCACAAUUCUGAUUUUGCUGUUUCAACUAGUAGGCUCAACGAUUGUGAAGCUGUUGUUCACAUUUCCUCUUAUGAGGCUCACAAGGCUCCACUAUCCGACAUCUUGCAAUGUUUAGAAAAUAAUGGCCUUUAUUUGCUAAAUGCUUCUUCCUCUGAAACUUUUGGAGGAAGGGUCUUCUACAACUUGCAUUUCCAGGUAUCUUUUAUGGUAUUCCUUUUAUCCUUUUUGCUUAUUGUAGUAGUCAAAUUUUUACUCUCUAGCUUGUUCUUGCAUAGCCUUUUAUAAGAAAAAGUUUCAUUUCAAUUAAUCUAUUAUUUUAAAAGUUUAAGAUAACAUUAAUUAUUAGGUUUUUAAUUAUAUACUUUUAUUCUUAUCGGAAAAAAUGAUGUGUAUGAAAUGUUAUUGAAGUAAUAAGACAGCAAAAGGACAUUUAACAAAAGGAUAAUGCUAAUGCUAAUUAAUGUGCUAUGGCAUUGGUUAAUGAUUAAAAAUACAUAAAAAAAAUUAUAAGAAAAUAUAGCAUUUAGUGUUAUAAGUACUUUAUAAUUUGAGAACUAAUGAUGUACUGCUGUUUCUGCAGGUGGAAAAAACUCAUAGAUUAGAGUCCGAAAUUCUAACUGAGAAGCUUUUGUCAAUAUAUGAGAAGCAAAGGAUUUUCUAAUCAAACGAUCUUAAGUGCUCUGAUGUUAAAUUUGACACCUAAAAGAGUCUUCACAUAUUUGUCAUGCAUGAAUGGCAAGUUCGGAAAUUAGAAUGGAGUAAUCACAUCACAUGCCGCUUCUAUAUACAUAUGAUUUGGUAAAAAAGCAAGUGGCCGGCAGGAAGGUGCAUGGAUUUUAGGAGGAGUUAAAGAAAAGAAUAUUGUAUAAACAUAAAUGUUACAAUCAGCCUCACGUAGCAAAGUGUGACACCCUCUUUUCUCACAAAUAUAUGUACUAAUAAUGAAAGGAAUAGAAAGUUAGAAUUAAUGAAAAGUUUUAAAACACAUUUAAAUAAAAGCAUUUCAAAAAGGAUAAAAGGUUUACAUUCGUUUUUCUAGCAUUCUAAUAAAACUUAUUUAAAUAAAUAAUAAAAUCAUCUUCACUCAAAAUCAGGUCGUCCAAACUGAAUGAAAAGAAGUCAAACUAAUAGUAGAAAACAUAAAAUAACUAUAUUAUUCAUGAAAUUGUAACAUAUGAUAUAAAACUUCAUGCACCGAUAUCACAUCUAUCAGAACAUUUUCCUGACCAACAUGGAACUCAUCAUAUGCUGACUCACUUGAAACAAAAUGACAUUCAGCCCAAACACAAAACACACACCGAGAAUGAGUUAUCACAUUUGUAUAUAAUAAAAUAUUAGAGCAUGUAAAACAUAUAAAUACAUAGAGUUAAAUUUACAUAAACAACAUCACUUCACCAAACCACACACAAGUAUUCAUACUUAUUCAAAUUUACACUCCAGAAAAUAACACCAAAAUCUUAAUCGUUAAUUCAAUGAAAGUCAAACACAAGUGUUAUGUCAUAGAUAUACUAGACUCAAGCCUACAUGCAAUGUGAUACCAUUUUCAGUGAAAAAUCUCGUCGAGCGUCUAAGAGUACAUGACAAGACAUGUCUCACAGUGGGCAAGUCAAGUCACUCUCACUAAGUGAAAUCAUAGGGAGACCAAUCAGAAUCACACUGUUUUACAAGAAUGUUCCAACCAUGCGGAAUCAACUUAGGCUUAAAGGAGUACUUAAACCGAGUGUAUUUAUCCCCAAGGCCUUGACUCCAAGGAGUCCAUCAGGGCCUCUCCCUCAUAAUUCAGGUCCAACCCAGAAAAUAUUUUAACACACAGGCUCUACCUACGAACUAUCCAAUACACACAACUACUCAAUUAUUAUCAAAAUCUCAAUUAUUUUUAAAAUCAUUUUAACUUGUCGCACCUCAAGUAAUUAAACUCAUUGGGUUCCCACAGUGGAAUCCAUCACAAAAUUUGUCGCGCCUUAAGUUGUCGCCCUUAAAAGGUCUUACAGUUGUAUGAUCACCGAACUCACAACUCAAUAUACAUGUAUCUCAAGUGUAACCAUAAUAUUCUCAAACUUCAACACUUGAAUAAUUUUUGAAAUCAUAUUAUAACAACACUACAAUAUUAUUAACAUCAAAUAUAUAUAUAUAUAUAUAUAUAUAUAUAUAUAUAUAUAUAUAUAUAUAUAGUUAACAAAUAGAUAAGCAUGUAUUAUAAUAAUAAAAUACAUCUAACUUCAAAGAUUUAAACUUCCAACUUCUCUUAAACAUAGGGAAGGUUAAGGGCUUAGGAAAUACUGAAUUUGGACUUCUAUGAGACUUAUAAAAUUAGGGGAAGUGUCUCAAAUCAAUAGCUCUAACAUUGAGCAUCUCAAAUUAGCAAAAAUAGGAGCUGAACUUAAAUUUGUCCUCUCCCUAAACUAUCCUACAUCUCUUAUCAAAAUAUUUGUCAAAUAUUCUAGGAACCUCUAAAUAUUAAGGGAUUAGUUUGGCUAGUUAUUAGAGUACACUUAAAACUAUUAUUAUGUGAAAACACAAGCUAUGGUUCAUUUAGGUUGUUUUCAUGAAGUUAGGGAGAACCAAACAAUACCCAUUAUGUAAUUAUGCAAUGCUGCAGCAUAUAAAAAAAAUUGAUUUUUUGUGAACUACCUAAAUCUUGUUAUGCUUAAAUGACUAUAAAGGUUUGGUAAAUUUGAAGUUCAGUCCCCCACGUCCCUUUAGACUACAGGAUAUGUUCCUCUUCAUUAACUUGAGACCAAAACCCUUUAUUUGAACUAAAACAGUAGAUAUGUUAAGACAAUUUUGCAUAAAAGUCUUUUUCACAUGUCUGACAAAUAUAUUUCAAAAAUAUUCAAUGGAACAUUAAAAAUUAUGAGAUUAAUGAGGUUAGAAAAAGGACUCCCAGAACUAAAGAACUAGGAAAUAGUAGCUUCUAACUCCUUGAGACCUAUUUAUAGGAAUAUGUACAAGACAACGCCACUACUAGAAUAGUUGCAUUCUACAUUGGUUAACAACCGUCAUCGAAGACGACAUCGUAAAAAGGGGUAGGGUAUUCUACGACAGUCACACAGACCGUCUUAGAAUGGGUAUAUUUCUAAGACGGUCACCUAUGAAUGACUGUCUUAGAAUGGUAUGCAUUUUAUGACGGUCAUGCGGCAAGGACCGAUGUAGAAUGGUACCCAUUCUACGACGAUCACGCGGCAAAGACCGAUGUAGCAUGGUACCCAUUAUAAGAAGGUCCUUCGUGGCAAAGACCGAUGUAGAAUCAUACACAUUCUAUGACAGUCAUACGACAAAGAAUGAUGUAGAAUGAUAUGCAUUCUACGAUGGUCAUACAACAAAGACCGAUGUAUAAUGCAUUUUUUUUUUAUUAGAGCUAUUUUUUUAGGUAUUCACAAACUUUAAACGUUCAAAUACCUGCAAUAAACACAUGACAAUAUGAAAUUAAAUAAAUUUUAUGCAAUCAAUAUGGAUUAUUCAAAUCUUUUCUAGUUUGAAGCACUUUGAAAAGUAAAAUGAAUUCCUAUAUGUAUUGACCUGUUUUACUAGCUCCACUUACACCCAUCAAAGUAGUCUUACUAGCUCCACUUACACCCAUCAAAGCUGUGAGAACACUAAGCCUGAAUGCACCACUAACACCCUUCAAAAUUAAGCACGAAUCUCUCCUCUUGUAGACCUUGUUCCUUCAUUUCCUGCCAGUUGAAAUUAAUUGAGUUAAAAACGCAAAUUGCUUCUGGUUGAAGUAGAUUCCUAAUAGAAAUAAUAGAAACACUAUUAGAAAUGUAACAUGGUAAAUUUAUAACUUUGAAUAUUAUUUUCGUGUGGCAUGUCAACAGAGUAUACGACUUCAUCAAAGGUGAAUGAAUGUGGCUUGAAAGGAAGAACCAUUCCUUUUUUUUUCUUUCCAUGCAUGUUUGGACUCCAGUACAAGAGAAUGACCUUUUCCUGAACUUUGUGCGAGACAUUUGAAAAAGUGUUCAACAUCUUGAGGUAUAUUAUGAAUUGUUGCUACUCAAAGAGUAUGCUUGACAUUGAGUAUUCAUGAGUGAUUUAUAAGUGUAAAAUACCUUACCUAUGCGUGGUAAUUCAAUAUCUGCUACGGUUCCUUCGUUAGGUGAUUCAUCUUCAGUUAUUGUUGCUUGUGGCUUAUCAAAUGUUGCAUGGACAUUCAGAUGCAUACUUAUUAAUAAAACCUGCCUACAUUGCUUUUCUGAAAGUGAUAAAAUUUUCAUUUAUUUUUCUAGCUAUAGAAAACUACAUUCUAUCAUUCUAUAUAAACAACAACAAAUAAUAAAAAUUAGGCAUGAAUAGAACAAGAGAGUAGGGGAAUAAAAGAGAAAAGAGUUUUCAAAAUCCAUAUACAAGUCAUCCACACCCAUCUUUGUUUCAUUAAUGCAAUUUUGUUGAUUCAAGCUAAGUUCCAUAAUUUAUAAGUACAAAUGAUUUGAAAAGUAGUCACGACCAAGGAAUUGAAGAGCAAGACCAAACAUCACAUUUAAAAGGAACACACGAGACUCCAUAUAUUCAACUCUAGUGCCCCUAAGCCUAACCAAUACCAAUAUGAAUCUGUGAAGAACGCACGAGACUCCAGAUAUUCAACUCCUAAAUUGUGGGUAGCCUGUAUUUGGAGAGCAAAAACAUUAGAAUCGCACUUUUGCUAACCAAAAUAAUACAAAUUUUGAAGUAGUGAGUUCAAGAAAUUACGUUGUGCCAACUAUUUGAAAGAAAUUCAUUGACCAAGGUAGCAUUUUACCCAUACAUUAAAUGUGAAAUCCAGUAACCCCUAAUCCACCAGCUUUUGAUAUCCCAUGUUUCAUUGACAAUGAAAUGCAGAAGCAUUACCUUAGGUUUGUUUAGUAUGAUAGAAAUGCAACAAUUUUUUUGUCACAUGUUCAUGUUAAUCGAACUUACUUUUUGACAGAAUGAAACCACCGAAUGCAUCAACUGUGAUAAUUGCAAAGGCUCCAAAUGUGUUGGCAACAAUCAUGUUCAAGAACCUGCACAAAAUUCAAGAACUCACAUCAUAAGUAACACGAAAAUUAGUAGAAGCAACAAUAUUUGCAUGCUUCUAAUUGUUUAAAGUAGUUUCUUUAGAUGUGAUCAUUUGGAUCAGAUCCAAUAACAUAGUAGGUGAGGAAUACCCAAACACAAACCUCCACAAAAAUCAACAAUUAUACAUCUUUUAUACUUUUUUUGAAUAUGAGCAGCAAUGGUUCUAAAACAAAACCAUUUGAGUUGCCUGUUUCCGCCUUUCCGCUCGAUCACUACAUCUGAAGUUCAAAGUCGCAGCCGUAGGGUUAACAUUGGACUUUGUUGAAUUGAAAACUUGAUUCGUCCUAUAUAAACCUUAUUAUGUUACUCUUAUAUUAGAAUGAAAUAAAACAAAAGAUUAAUCGUUACAUAUGUCAACAAACUUGUAUGCUUCUUGAAUUCCUCUAGAAGCUAUUUUUGAAGCAAAAAGCUGGGAUUCUGCAUCCUUUCUUACUUUUGAUGCAUUUUCAGUAUGAAAAAUUAAAACCACGUAUGACUGAGUCAAUCUAAAGCAUAUAAUAUAACUUGAGAGAAUGAAUUUGAAGCAUACCUAGUAUAACAAUUCCAACUGAGAAACAACAAAUACGUCUUGCUUUCACGAACAAGUUUCUCUGCACUUUUAGAAACCAGCACGUGGAGGCCUAUAACUUAACGGUCAUAGCUGAAAAUUCAGAAGCAAGCCAUAUAGCACAGAAAUUAUAAUUAAAAAUAAUGAAAUUAAAUUGUUACCUCUUUGGUAGUUUUGCUAGCUAAACAAGUAGUUGGUGUUCCAAGUUUUCAUGAAUUCUUUUCCAUUUGUACAAUAAACUAUCAAUCAAAGAUGAAUUCCAUAAAGGUUGGCCUAAAAUUAUUCUAAAUUAGGUUCCACUCAUUGAGAAUACAAGGCGUAUGGAAUAAUAAAUUAUUAGAAUAAAGAAGAAAGUUCUGAUAAUUAGGUUCCACUCACUGUUGCAAAGUAAUUGUGCAAGAAAAGUGAUGCACUACUACAAUUUUGCGGCUUUAAUUCUUUUCUAUGCGGGUAACAACCCCCUUCAACUCCAGGAUCCAGUUGCAAGUCAUAGAAAAUUAUGAGGUUGUCAUUUCAUAUCAUGCACAAUAGAGAUAUCCAUGUUACAAGGACAUUGCACUUACACUCAUUCUCAACCAUGUAAGACCAUUAAUAAGCUAUUCCUACGAUGGUCCUAGGUCAAAAACCGUUGUUGUCUUAAUUUUACGUAAUUACAAGAUUGCCACCCCAGACAUUCUAAGAUAGUUAUUUAUAACCGCCUUAGAAUGUACAAUAUAAAAACUAAUUUUUGUUCGCCUAAUUACAAAAUUGUCACCGCGUCAUAUUCUGAAACAGUUCUCCAGAACCGUCGUAGCUGACGCGAUGUAGAAUGCAGCUAUUCUAGUAGUGCGCCUUUGCUGUCAAAAUUUGACAGCAAUUGUCUAAGACUUUUAAUUCCAUUCUUACCACUAAAUGAAUUCCCCAUCCUUUGGACUUCAAAACAUGUUUUACUAUGAUACUUAACAUCUAAACAUUUGCUAAUUAGGAAUCCUAGCUGCAUAUAUUCCAUGUAUUCGUAUGAACAUAGAUUUUAUUCACCAUUGUUUCCUUAAUUUAGAAAUUACAAUGCUUAAACUCUCAUUUUAUCUUUACUCAUUUUUAACAAGCAGCUUGAUUAAUUCAUGAACUCACCUCUUACAUUUUUUCCUAAUUAAGUGACCAUCCCCUGUCAAUGAAGGCUGGUGAAUGUUCACUCACAUACAUACAUGUGAAAAAAUAUAUAUAUGCACCCACAUUCAGAUAUUGGAUAACAUAUAGAUAACUAAUCCAUGACUCAUUCAUUUUCUUUAUUACUACGUAUAAAAUUAACGAAACAAUAUCCAAUCAAUGUCUACCUUUGGCAUAUCUGAUUUACGCACAAGGAUAACAAAUAUGCAAUCUCGAGAAUUUAUGAAUGAUUAGAAACAAACUAUUGUAACACUCAAAUAUCUCAUAUAAUAAAAUACUUAGGCUAUUUUAGAAAUUACGCUAAUUAAAAAAACUCAAUUUCUAAGAUUUACACUCAACACAAGAACAUAUUAAUUUCACAAUAAUUUCGCAUCACGACAUCAAUUGGUCCCUCUAACACAGUCGAUUCGCGAAUAAAAACAUAAGAACAAAAUUAAAUUUUAUAAAAACAAUGCAAAAUUGAUUUUUUAAGGAUCUCUACAUAUAUUCAUUCUAAUUUCUAAGCAUGAGUAACUCAUCCCUUACCUCGAUGUAGUCGCUCAAGUGUUCUCUGUUAGCAAUGGUGGCAUUUCGAGUGCUUUCUAGAACUCCUCCUCCGAUUACUCUGGUAGGAUUCUUGAAUAUCAGAGAAAAAAACAAAAAGUGUAGAAAAUAUUUUGUAAAAAUGUUCCAGGAUUAAAAGUUUUUUUAUACAGUGAGAAAUUAGAUGAGUUAAUUCUUAUUCCUAUUUUUUUAAUUUAUUUUAUUAAUUAUAAAAAUACUAUUUUCUCUCUAUUAAAAAAUAAAUGAAUAAAUAAACCUCUCUCUUAUUUUCUAAAAUUGUUAAAAAAACUCGUAUUUAUUAUUUAUUCCUAACCUCUAUUUUUAUUUAAAUAAAAACUCAUUUAUUUUAAUUAAAAUCCCUUUUAAUAUUUUUUUUUACCAAAAAAAACGGGGUAUUACACAAAUUGCUAUUAAUUUUGUCUCUUUCCUUUUAUUACAAAGUGUAGGCAGAAAAGUUUAGAGUUCAGUUCUCAGUUUUCUAAAUUUGACUUAUAUCAGGGUAGAAAUAUAAUAUGAUUUUUUUAAUCUCAUUUCCUUAAUUAAUGCCAUGAUUUAACCUUAUAAAGUAAUAAGAUCUUCUUGUCAAUAAAGAUAAAAGUGUGAUAGUUUAUUUAUAUCACAAUGCUUUAUAUGACAAUUUUUAUAAUAAAAGUUUAAUUAAAAAAUCGUCUCAAAAUUAUUCCUUUUAAUUCUUAUAUAUAUAUAUAUAUAUAUAUAUAUAUAUAUAUAUAUAUAUAUAUAUAUAUAUAUAUAUAUAUAUAUUGAAAAAAUAUAUUGUUCUAUGAAUUUAUAUUAUUCUGGAAGUAAUUUAUGGAGGUAAGAUGUGAAAGGGGUAUAUUUGUAAUAAGUGGAGGUAUAUUUACCAAUCGCUUUGUUUUUAACUUAUAAUAAAAUAAAUAAUAGGAUUACUUGCUUGGGCUUGGCCCGGAAACAGAGAUAUAGUGUUUCUUGCCCUGGGCUCAAUUUUGAACGUUAUCUGGCGGAUGUCUAGGUUUUCGUUUGUCAAAUUAUGUUUUUAGACUUUUUUUCUGAAAGAAAUAUGUUUUUAGUCUUUUUUUUUUCUGUAAGAAACAUGCUUUUAAGCUAUUCACAAAAGAGUAGAGAUUUUGGAGAAAAAAAGAAAGAAAAGAAAAGCUUGGCUCUUGUAACUCUUGCUACAUUGUAAUGGGAUUCCAUUGUAGCAGAAUUAAUUAAUUUGAUAGCCUCGCCUUUCGUAUUUCUGAUGAAAAUAUAACAUUAUUUUAAGUUGAACAUAUACUGCUCUUCAAAAAAGUAAAAUAAUACUGGAUUGAAACCUGGAAAAAAAUUGGUUAUUUUUUAUUUUUUUAUAAAAUCCCUCAUACUUUUGUAUCAAAUGCCCAUGCAAUAUCCAUUGAGAAGGAGGGAAGAGAGAAAUAAAUAAAUAAGUAAAGAAAGAAAGUUAUGAAUGUAAUAAAUAGUGUGAUGAGAAAAUAAGGUUAAAAUAAAAAGAAAACAAGAUAGAAAUGAGACAAGAAAGAAAGUGGGUGUAUGUUUAUAAUAAGUUUUGGUUUAUAUAAAAAAAAUGUUAUUUAUUAUUAAAAAGAUUACUUUCCUCUUUUACUUUUUUUAUUUUUCACAUUAAUUCUUUUAUCAUAUUUCUAUUUCAAACUACUAUUAAAUUAACACAUUAACAAGUUUUUUUUGCAAGUGUAACAAUUUUAUUACAAGUAGUAAAUAUUAAAAUGAAAGUUCAAGUAUCGAAUUCAUAGAAACUUUGGUCGUACUUAAGUGAUGCAAACCUAAUAAAGUGAAUGUAUCUUUAUAAUAAGUUUUGGUUUAUAUAAAAAAAAUUGAAAUGUUAUUUAUUAUUAAAAAGAUUACUUUCCUCUUUUACUUUUUUUAUUUUUCACAUUAAUUCUUUUAUCAUAUUUCUAUUUCAAACUACUAUUAAAUUAACACAUUAAAAAGUUUUUGUUGGUAAGUAUACCAAUUUUAUUACGAGUAGUAAAGAUUAAAAUGAAAGUUCAAGGGUCGAAUUCACAAGAACUUUGGUUGUACUUAAGUGAUACAAAUCCAAUUUUUAAGCAAUGAGAAGAAAUAGAAGAAAAAAGAGAUAAAAAAUUAGAAGUGUGAAAUUUAGAAUAAGGCAAAGAGAAAGAUAACAGGAAAAAUAUAAAGAACAAUUUAAUGUAAAAAGAUGAAAUCAGAAUGUGAUGAUGUUGGGGCCUAGCAUGCUAAAACUACUUAUGAUGUAAUGCAGUAGAUUUUCUCUAAUUUAUGAAAUUCAUGUUUCCAUCCGCAUCUACUGAAUUACCCUAUCUUUGGUUUCCCGCACGAAGGGCCUAGUUUAUUUAUCAUUUUCCCCCAAAUUUCUUUGCAGAUAUAAAAUAACAAAACGCAUUUAGAUUAGAGAUGCAAAAAUUCUUGGGCAAAAUAAAAAUCAAAUAUAUUUCUAGCAAAGAAUUUAUUCAGAUACCUUUUCCCAAUUCUUUAAAAAGUAAUAAUUUUUCAAUGCAUUACCCUCUAAACAUUAUAUGGAUACACAUAAGCACAAAGAAGAAUAAUAGAAACAGACCAACAUUAAUUAGAUAAUAGAUAGAGAAUUACAUUACAAGAGUUUGACUUUCAGGCUUCCAACAAUGGGGAUUUAGCCUCUUAUAGUCAUGAGAGGCUUUACACUUUAGGGGUUAAUAGAAGAAGGGGAUGGAUGACUAAUAGCAAGAAAGACAAGAAUGACUAAAGAAAUAGGAUUUCCUAUAAGGGAGAGACUCAGACUUUGGAUUUUUUCACUAGAGAGCUCUCAGACUUGACAUGUCUUUUCCUUUUGCUUCCUACUCCUUUUAUAGGCAUGAGGUAGCAUACUUUUCACUUUGAUUUCGUGUUAAGCCUGCCUUGGCCGCAGAGCGAGACUGCACGCUAAGCGAGACUUCACGUUGAGUCUGGUUUUACCCGUUAAGCGAGAGUCGCGCGCUGAGCCUGGAUUACGCGCUGUCCAAUUCUUCCAACUCUUCUUCAAUGUUUUUUCUUCCACAUUUUUUUAUCAAUUUUCCUCUAAAGCACUUCAAUUCUUCUUCUUUUGACUUUUGCUAAUAAAAAAUUACAUAGAUGUUAAUUUUUUUCGUUAUAUCAUUAAAAACAAUAAUAAAGUGAAGAAAUUAUUAUCAUUAUUAGCAAAAAAUGACUAUCAAUUUAGCUCAAAUUUCGUAAUUAUCACACUUUUUUUCAUUUAUUUUAUUUUGUUAAUAUCAUGGACAUAUUGAUCUCAAUUGACUUCUAAAUAGUAAAAAUAAUGUUAAAUAUAUAUUAAAUGGGAUGAAAUUGGAAAAAUAUAUUGACAUAUCAUUAUUUAAGCAUUGAGAAAAUAAUAUUUUAAUGUUUUAGUCACAAUGACAUUGAUGUGUUUUGCUGAUGAUUAAUAAUCUUUGUCAAAAAAUUUGACUAAUCACCUUUAAUAAGAUUUUCAUUUUCAAUUAUGUGUUUUUUCAUAACAAGAGUCAAACCCAAAAUCUUAUUUAAGAAAAUUGAAUUGGGUACUUGUUAGCUCGAUUGACAAGUGUACCAAUUCGCCCAAGUAGUAAUUAAAACGGUAAGUCCGAGUAUCAUGUCCACGGGGAAUUUAUUAUACUUAGAUGAUGCAUAUUCAGUUUGUAAAUAAUUUUAAUUGCAGUGUAAUAAAAUGGAAUAACUCAUUCAUAUUUCAAAUUCCUGAAUUAAUUUUUCUAAUCUUAAAAACACAUGACAAGACAAACACAAAAUUGUAAAAUAGCACGAAUACCAAGGUGAAUAUGUCAGACAGUAUUCUAGUGAACUUUCUCUUGACGUAACUAAAUAAGUUUUUUUCUCUAAUUAAUAUUGUUCUAAUGUUCUUUGCACCGUUAAAUUACUUUAAUCGUAAUUCCUCACACGAAAGAGCCUAGCCCUUUUAGUUUCAUUCUUGAUUCCUCAACAAACUCAUUCUAAGCAAGCUGCAUUAAGCAAAAGAUGCAACAUUUACUAUAUUACUACACAUCAUUCCUAAAAAUAUAGGCCUCUAGCUACUCUACCAAGUUCUAAGGACUAAAAGCAUUUUCCAAUACUCAAAGCCUAACAAAUAUAUAAAUGGGUUGCCACAAAUAUGAAAAAUAAACACAAAUAAAAGCAGAGAACACUAGCAAUAGUAUUAAAUAGAUAGUUAGAAUUUUUAAAUCAAGAGUGCUUAGUGAAAAAACUCCCCAACAAUGAAGUGUUUAAUCCUCCAUUAGCAAGGAGGGCUUAAUACAAGAAGGAAAAGAUAUGGGGAUGGAAUGGUGAAAAGAUGUGCCCUAUUCCUUCCUUUCCACACUGCUUGACCUUCAUUUCCCCUCCUCUCUCAGUUUUUAAAGACUUUUAAGCUUCUUAGCUUACAAAGGCGUGCUCAGCGAGCAUGUCUUGCUCAACGAGAGUUAGUGACUGGGCACUAAGCGGGCUUGAACACGCUAAGUGUGAGAAGAGACAAAAUCCUUGUUGGACAGGCUGGCUGCACACUAAGCGUGCUGCUCUCUGACUCAACAUUCUCUAGGGUUUCCUACUCGCUUAGCGAGCUGACUUCCUCGCUAAGUGGAUGAGUCUCGCUUAGCCAAUCUAGUUCACUAAGCGAGCCCUUGAGCAACAUUUCAAAAUCUUCUCUUCCUUAGCCUAAAAAAUUCAAAUAAAUUCAACAUUAGUCAUUCAAAUGGAGUUUCCACUGUAUAAAUUCAUACAAGAAUAAAUUAUUCACAAAUCUCACAAAAGAAACCAUAAAUUAAAGGUACAUUGUUACUUUUUAUCCUAUUUUUGAUGCAUUUAGUACAUAUGAAUAGCAAUUAACAACACUACAUAUUGGCAAAUAAUAUCUUAAUUUAGUAAUUGAGUAAAAAUAGAACACUAACAUUAAUUGGGUAGGGUUAUUUUAUUUUAAUCAGUGAUUUUUAGUUAAAAUUUAAAGUAUAUGGUUGUAUUAAAUAUUUUACAAGAUUUUUUUAUAAUAGUUCAACUUAUCUUGAGGAGGAAUAUCUCCCAUAAAGAUACUUGUGAUCUUUAAAAAAAAUAAUUGAGUAAAUCACAUAAUCAGAAAAAUAAUAAAAACUUAAAUAAUUAAAAUAACUUUUUUAUAUUAAAAAACCCGUACUAAAUAUGAAUAAUAACUAAUGAGUAAAGAGAAAGAGUAACAACAUAUUUUCUAAUGCACUGUUUAUCGCACUCUUUAUAAUUAUUUUUAAAUCACAAGGUUUUGUCAGUCUCGCCACAUAUUUAAGAAAAUAAAAAUUUAAGAUAUUAUUUUCUGAUUUAUAAUAUAGACAUAAAUUUUAAAAAAUGUGUCAAAUAAAUUAUUGAAAAGACCAAAAAAAGAAAGUUUAUAAUGUUUUUAUCAUUUAUUUAUUUUUUAAAAUAAAAAUAGGUAUGAAAUAUUUAUAAAGUAUUGUUAAAUGAUAUUACUUCUUAGUAUAUGGGUUUGAAUUAAUUGUUUCAAUUCCUUAAAACAUUUCUUUAUAAUAACUAUUCAAAAAAAUGUUAAUACAACAAACAUGCUCUAAAAACAACUCCUCUAAAUUAUUUUAUGUACACUUACUCAGAACACCUCUUUAGGGAGUAUGUUUCAAAUAAUUGAUUAACAUUUGAGUUGAGAAGAAAUAUUGUAGAAAUUGAAACUCUAUAAAUUAAGUUGACAACGAAAAAAUCCUUAUAAAUGACACGAUGCACAAUCGAGGGAGAGACACGAAGGCCAUUUCAGUAGACAGAACAGAAGAGAGGCAUUAAUGUCAUGACGUGAUAAGUUGUUUUUGACAUUUGGGUACAAAUUGUACAAUAAUAAUACUUGUACUAGCUUAUGUUUCUGUCCCAAGGAAUUGCUUAUAGUCAGACGUUCAGAAAGAUGCAUUGCAUAUUGCAAAGAAAAUGUCUACGUACGAGAUAGCACUGACGUUGAUUGAUUGCUCUUUUUACUAUCAUUAAUUUUCUAACGUCUCUGCCGGGAUUUAUACAAUUACGUUACACUGUGCUUGGCUAAUAAAAAAAUAAAAAUUUCAUCACUUUAAUUAUUUAGAAAAAACUAAAAAGCAAAUUGAGACGACAAUUUUUUAAGAAGAUAUCACAUAUUCUAUCCUAUAUUUGUCUUUUUCUAAAAAAAAAUAUUAGAGUAUUAUAUUUGCAUUUUCGGAAAUUGAAUCUUAACGUAAAUCAAUUAGAAGUUUUUUUCAUUCGUUAUAAAAUUGAAUCUAAAUAUAUAAUUAUAAAAUCAUUAUCAUUUAAAUUUUGUAGUUUUUUUUUCAUUAUAGUUCAGUGUCUGUAUGCGUUACAUUACAUAAAAAAAAUUUAGAAUUUUUUUUUUAGAAAAACAAAACCUUCUAAAAAAAUUCGCACAAAUCUUUUUAUGGUAGCACCGAGGCUCUCUGAUCGGUGGUAGUGUAAUGUAAUGUUGGCUCAAAUCAGUCAUCAAUCGAAAAUAUGUUCUAUUUGCAAGUGUAACUGUUUGUGACCACCCGCUGGCCAAAUGAGUAAAUUUAUUAAGCUCAUUUGAUUUAAUUUCAAAUAUACAGUAGAGACUUAGGUCAUCAUUUUUAGUCCAGAUGAGCAAUCAACCUAUGUUAAAUAUCAUUUGAUAACAUUACCCAAUCAAGAAAUAGAAAAAUUAAUAGUGUCAUUAUAUAUAUUAAUUGCAACAUAACCUAAUAUAAUUAGCAAUCAACUUAUGUGAACCAACAAGUUGUUGAUUGAAGUGAUAUAGGAUUUGAUUUUUUUAAAUAAUGUCUCAAGUUCAUAUAUUAUAAAUGAAAAAAAUAUAUAAUUGUAAAGGAAGAUUUUACUAAAAUGAUUAAUCAAUUUUUUUUAAUAAAAAUUAAUAAUAAAUAAAAUUAGUGAAUAUUUCACAUCAAUGUCAUAAUGAUAAAAAACUAUAAGAAAUAUUAUUUAUAGUUAAUAAAAAAAAUCCAAUCACCAAAAACCAUUUACAUUGCAACAAAACCAUUUACAGCUAAUCUUUUCUUUGCUUCUUUCUGUCAUUGUAAUUUCUACAACAUAAAAAAAAAAAAAAAAAAAAAAAAAAAAAAAAAAAACUCAAUCACCAAACUUGAAUAUUGUUGUUACAUAUGGCAUAACAUUCCUCCUACAGUUUUGCACCAUCUUCAUGUAAAGCAACUACAUGUUAAUGACAAUACCACAAAUGCUCAUUUUUUUAAUUUUUUUUAUAAAAUAUAAUAAUUAAAAUUAAAAAUGUGUCACAUUAAUGGAUUGGAAUAUGGUUCAACACUAAAAUUUGAUAUCCAACUCAAAGGAUAGUGAGACAUAUUAGGUUAGAUUGAAUUUUACUUGAACAAUUAAAAACUACACCAAACUAAAGUUUUAUGGUUGAAUUGAAUCAUUUUGAAUUCUUGACUACUUAUACUCAUGAACAUCCCUAACUAGAGACUUGCCAUUCCUAGUGGCCAGUUGUUCAAGUGCUGCCAUGUAUUAGUUUGAUGAGUUUUUUUUUUUUCCAAACUUGCCAUUAAUAUUUGUUAGUUAAACAUGUGUCCUUAUUUAAUCGGGGUGUGUUAACAAAUGUGUUAGUGCAUAUUUAAUUAUUUUCUUUUUGAAACUCGUCAUUAGUCUUUGAAUGUGAUAUACAUGUGACGAAUUUUAAUGGGGACUGAGAGGCCAUUUGAGCUCUUAGUCCAAUUUUCAAAAAAAGAAAAGAAAAGAAAAAAUUGGUGACCUAAUCUAAACUCGUUAGUUAACUUAGUGUAAAAUGGUGGAUCCACAUACGGGAGCAUUUGUCCGGACAAGAUAUUUUAUUUUGCUUGAAUAUAUUUCAUAAUUUUUUUUGCCCCUUAAAAAAUAUUGAUAUUUGCAUCCAUGAAAUCGUAAAAGAAAGAAUAAAUUGGUAUUAAUGUUAUCACUUUAUCUUUUUAAUUUUUAUACAUAAAGUGAAAUUAUAAGCAUGAGCGUUUUAAAUUUUUUUGUCAUAACAAUUUUUAUACAUAAAGUGAAAUUAUAAGCAUGAGCGUUUUAAAUUUUUUUUGUCAUGACAUAAUGCAUUUUAUAAAAGCUUGAAAUAUUUUUUCUAUGACAAUAUUAUAAAUUUCUUUUUUACCCUCAUUAAAGAUAUGAUUCAUGGAUUUGCCACCAGCUUAGUGUAUCGACUAUGUCAAUUGUCAAAAUAAUCCAAUACUGAUAAUAUCUUUUAAAAUAGUCUCAUUUUAGUAUUUAUAAAUUUUUUAAAGGUAUCCGACAUUAAUUGAUUUUAAUCAAUUGUGUAUUUAAAUUAUGAAUUCCAACAAUUUUAUUUUGGUCUUUGGCCCCGUUGGGCCUAUGAGAUAGAUAGGAGACCUAGUUGAAAAGCAUUUAAGAGUGAAAGUAUAAUAUGUCCAAUGCCUAGGUAAAAUGUUAAGUUAUAUACCACCCUUGACCGUAUCAAACUGAAUUCCAAUUUUUCGGGGAUGAUUUCUCAUUUAUAGUCUAAACCAUUAUUAGAUCCUCGGAUGCACAUCUUGCAUGGGUGGUUGCUCUGGAGUUGGGCAACACGGCCUAGAUAUAAGGUGUUUAGAGCUCGAUUAGUAACGAAAACAAUAACCAAAGGAUAGGUCAGAUUUUGACAACUGAGGUACAAAAUCCCUUAAUCUUAAGUGUGUAGUUGAAAGAGACUUUGCUUCAAGAGUCAUCGGAUUUUGAGAUAAUCAAUCUUAUUUUAAAUUUACACAUCCCACAAUAACACAAUAAGCAAUCAAUCCCUCUCAUAAAUUUCGCUGUCCUUCCAAUAUUCCUACUUUAAGAGAUCCUUAGGAAGAAAUUGAUCUAAAACCUUCAAAUUGGAUUGCUUCCAAACCUAACUAUUGUGGUGUCCCGUAUAUAACGAUAUUUCCUACUUUAAGAGAUCCUUAGGAAGAAAUUGUUUAACGUAACUUUGCUUUAUCGCCUACUAUAUAUUCUCCUAAACGUUGAAUUAAUGCAGAGAAAUAGUGCAAAUUAAUGUGGCUUCACUAAUAUACCUUUUCAUGCACAUUCACUGCAUAGAUACUACUUCUAGUGAAAGGAAGCAAACGCAGUUUCCGAAUGACCAAUAUUUUGUAUCUUCCAUAUUCAAGAAUUCAGUGAACAAGUAAAGUCGACAGUGCCUUAUAGCUUUUCACGUCGUGGAACUAGUUAAUAUAAUUAAAACCAAAGAUUCAAUCAUAUCUGUUUGCUUUCUCAAUGGAUAAAUUCAAUGCCAGCAACUCUAAUAAUAAUAAUAAUUUAUUAUUUUAAUAAAAUCAUAAAUAUUUAUCUUAAAAUUUUAUAUUUUAUACCCCUAAUUAUAUUGUUGGAAUCCCCUAGCUAGCAGGCCUAUUUUGCAUCCCUUUAUUUUAAUAACUCACAAGUAUUCUGUUAGAAUUUAUAUUUUACAUCUUUUAUUUUAUUUUAUGUGUUUGAAUCUACUAUUCUAUUUUUUUUCACUUUUCUUAUAUCUUUAUGUCUUUAUCUUCAUAUAUAUGAAAAUUAUUAUUAAAUUUAUUUUUUAAAAUAGAUUACUCCCACUACUGAAAUGCAUGCAUGAGACUAAAAAAAAUGAAUAAAUAGUUAAUUUAGUUCCUAAAUUUAUAUCUAGCUAUCAUUUUAGUCUUUUUGAAACUAAGAAAAACUCAAAUAAAUGCUUGAAAUAUUUUAGAGUUUCAUUUAAGUUUCUCAAAAUAAUUUUUUUUUUCAUUUUGGAUCCUAUAAACUUAUGUUAUUAUUAUCAUUUAAAUCUCCAGAGUAUAGACUAAAAUAUGAGAAAAAAAAUUUGUUUGGGUAGGGACGUGUCUGUAGGGAGUACUCAAUAAGUAAAGACGCCAUCUAACAAAUUAACUGAUCAAUUGUGGCCUACCUCAAAAAUACUUCAAAGAACUAAAUUACAUGUAUAUGCAUAUUAUGUAUCAGUAGUCUUUCUCAGUUCUGAGUCUCCAACAGACAAAUAGAUGUUCUGGAUGGGGCAGGGGGCGGCGAACUGAGUUAAGAGCAGAAGUACGAUGUUAACGUUUGGUCUUGUGAUUAAUAAUAUGAUUUGAAGUACGCAUGAAUCUUGCCAAACAUUUUCUUUUCUGGAAACGUAAGAGAAACAUGCUUGCUUGCACUGCACCCAUGAUGAUGAAGUUUGAGUAUAUCAUUAUAAAAUUGAAACCUAGAGCUACCCAAUACUUUCAUAUAUCUAUAUGCACUUGGGUUUAUAUAUAUAUGGUCAAGUAAAAGAACUGGUUUCUAUGAAUAGAUUGCCUAUUUAGUUAAUUGAGAAAACUUUUUUCCCUUUGUUUGUAAUUAUAAACAAUUACAAAAAAAUAUAAUAUUACGUUUCACUAUUUAUUUAACAUUUGUAAAUAUUUAAAUAGAAAAUAAUAAUAAUAAUAAUAAUAAUAAUAAUGGGAAAGUUAUGUAUAGAAUGCAUCUUUUAAAUUUCAAUCUCAUUGUUUGUCUGAUGAAUAUCUUCAAUUAAAUUAAGCACUAUGCAGCUGGAAAAAAAAAAAUUUCUCUUGAUGUAGCUAGCCUGCUGCCAAUUGAUCGAUCUUAAUUAAAACAUAAUUUAGGUUUGGAAGUAUUAAAUUUUGGUCUCUCUCUCUUGCGCGGGAACGCGGGGAGCCAUAUCUAAAUUAAAACUUGACUUAUUGUAUCUUAAAUUAAGUUGGUAUUGAAAACAUAGGGAUGAGAUCAUUUCAUUUACGGCUUAUUAUAUUAAACUAAUGCUAGUUGCAUGUUGACGUAAAGUUUAUCCAGUUCUAUGAUACAUUGAACAAGGCGAAAAAAUUAACCUUCAUGCUUUGGGAUCUUUUCGCCGUUUAACAUCAUUACUGUUUUUGUUAUAGUUGUCAAGUAGCUAUGAUUCCACAACUCUUCGCCAUAUAUGAUGUUGUUAUAGAGGCAAAAUUCCAUUGGAGUUGUUGGUACUUUAGUACUAGCAAAAAGAUAUUGUUGAUUUUUUUUUAGAGUAAGAAGAUAUUGUUAAUUUAUUCACCAAAAGAAGAAUAAAUUUCCUUAUAUAGCUCCAUCGGCGUAGACACAACCCUAAAGUUUAUGGAAAUUUUGGAGGUUAUUAUUUUCGUACUAGUGCUUGUUAUUAUAUAUAUAAUUCGGAUCAAAGAAUAUCUACUACAUAAUUCGGAUAAAAGAAUAUCAACUAAACGCUAAAGAAAUAAGUAAGUAGGGAGAAAACUUUGUUAAUAGAGAUAAAAUUUAUUUUGAUGAUUUUUACAUCAAAAGUGUUCGUCUUGUGAUUUUUGACUAUGAAAAUAUAUAUCUUAAUUAAAAAAAAAACUAAAGAAAUAAACCACUUAUUUCAAUUUACUUUCUUAUUUUCUAGGCACAUAAAAUGUCCUUUUUAUAUUUUUUUUAUCAUUUUAAAGUAGAAAUAAAAAUGUAAAUACGAUUUAAUUUAUUUGUCUCAAUCUGCCAAUCAGUGCCAAGGUUUACAAUGAUAUAAAUACCCAAAAUUAAAUUAAUAGGCAUGGAGUAAUACAAUACAAAAUGAAAAUCUCUAUCAAUUUAUUUUUGAAUUGUAAUAAUUGAGAAAUGUAUACAUUCCAACGUUUAAUUUCAACGAUGCUUUCUAGUUUUCAAAAAAGAAAAAGGUAUAUGAUAAAUGGCAAUUGAAAUCAUUGACAAAUAAAACAAUGAAAUGUGCGAUUCAAUCAUAUUUAAAGGAAAUGACGAUAUUCUUAUAUUUUGGAUAGGGAUACAUCAUAAAGUGAGUUUUUUAUUGUCUUCUCACCGAACUAAUGCCAAUUUAUGCCAUCCACAGUAAUUCUUAAUGGUAUAUAUACUAGCUAAUAUUGUUAUAUAUUCAAAUAAUCAAAAUUAUAUUAAUGAUUUAUAAAAUAUUUGUUUAAAAAAUAAACUAAAUUAAAUAUGUUUUUAAUCUCUACAUACAAAAUUAUUUAAUAUCUCUAUAGUUGUAGAAAUAUAUUUAAUAACUUAAAAAUAUAUUAAAAAAUCAAUAUUUCUCUUUAUUAAUUAAAAAUUUUAUAUAAGAUUCAAUUAUUUCAAAUAUCUUUAACCAUGAACAAAAGGCAAAAAUAACAGAUAAAACAAGCAAAAAGAAGAUUCUUCAAAAGCUUAGUAACAAAGGUACAAGCUAACGAGAUUUAACUAAACUAGAGUCCAAUCCAAAAACCAUCUCAUAUUCACGUACAAUUUGAAAAAUAUUUUAAUAAAUUUAAAGAUAAUAAUUUGAAGAGCAAAAUAAGUCAAAUACUUAAUACUCAAGAAUAUGUAUGUGUGGACUGAAGUUUAUUUAGAUUUAUUUAGUUUUUAGAUUGAAUACUUAAAAGGAAAUGUUUGGUUUGAUUGUUUUCUGUUUUCAUUUUUACUGAAAAUAGAAAAUGGUGAUGAAAAUACAUUUGGUUGGAUUCUUGAAAAUAUUUUCUCAAACGAAUAAAAAUCUGGAAACAAUAAAAUCUCGUUUUCAAUUGAAAUCAGGAACCUUAUUUUAAAUAAAAUGAAAACGCGGCGUCAAGGAAUGUAAUUUUAAACAAAUCUAAAAAUAAUUUCAUUUUGAAAACACAUUUUUAGUAUUUUAUUUCUUGAAAACAGAAAACAAGAAGUUAAAUCAAACAUGUUUUCAGAAUUUUAAUCUUUUGAAAAUAAAAACAAUUUUCAGAAAAUGAAAAUAAAAAAUAAAAUUACAAACCAAAACAUACUCUAAAUUUUUGUAAAAAAAGAAAUAUUACCUAAAAUGACUUGGUGAACAUAAUCUUAAUGGUGUGAAAUACCUUUAAACUACAAAGAACUAAAUAUUUAAAUCAAAUAAUUACCAAAAAUCAUAUUAUUUUAUGUGAUUUUAGAAAAUCUAACCUAUAUUUAAACACACUAAAUUAUGUAUAAAUGUAUAGGUCAUUUUCUUUGACCAAAUUAAAGAAGCUUUGUGUGUCUAUCUUUUUUAACGGUUUUUAAAUAAGGGUUAGAGACUUAAAGUAAUACUAGUAUUCUUACAAUUGUUUUAAUGAUAUUUUUCCGCUGGUGAUCGAAAAACAUGUAUCCGUCAUUAUCUCAGUUUUGUUUUUUUGAACAGCCAUGUCCGUAAAAUAGAUCUUGAAUAGGAGGAGCUGGAGAGAAGAGGGAGAAAAGGGGGAGCCGGCGGCGAACUGAAUAAUUUGAAGUAUGCAUGAAUCUUGACAGACAGACAUACAUUUUAUUUUUGGAAACAUAUAUAAGAAAAUGCAUCCAUUACACCAUGAUCAAGUUGGAGUAUAUCAUUAGAAAAUUCAAACCUAGUUAGAGCGAUUGAACUUAAUUUAUUAUCUACACUUGGGAUUGGGAUAUGUUUAAUUUAAUUUUUUUAUUUUUUAUUUCCUAUUUCUUAUAAAUAAUUACAUAAAUGUCCAAUAUGUUUUUUCUCUCAUUUUUAAGUAUUUGCAUAAGAAACAAAGAAAACAAUUAUAGUUAAGUUUUUCUUUAAAUUUUUUAAAAAGUUUUCAAAUAUAUAUAUAUAUAUAUAUAUAUAUAUAAUGGAAAAAGUUAUAUCCCAAACAUGCAUUUAAACUCAACAUUUCCUUAAUCUUUAAGGUCUAUUUAAUUGGUAGCCAAUGAUAAAAAAAAAUUAUCUUAUUGACAUCUUCAAUAGGAUAUGAUUUACUUGUUAUAUUAUUUAUCUUAUCCUAUAUUAACAUAACAUAAUAUUUCUUAUCAUAUAAAAUAAAAAAAAUAGAUUAGCUAGAAAGUAAUAGGAUAGAUUGUUACUCAUUUUUAUUCUCUUGUUACAAUCACCACCUUAUCAUUAUCACCAUUAUUAUUAUUGUAAUUGUUAUUAUCAUAAUAAUAUUAUUAUCAUCAUCACUUAAUCAUUGUUAUCACUUUCAUUAUUAUUAUCAUUGUUAUUAUUUCAAUCAUCACUAUUAUCAUUAUUAUCACCAACAUUAUUAUUAUCGUCAUCACUUCAUCAACUUUAUCAUUGUCAUAAUCAUAAUAUUUAUCCUAUUACAUCUUAACCACCAAAUUAACCUCUAUUUUCACUUAGAUGUGUAAGUCCAUUAAUAUAAUUAAUCAAAAACACCUUUAGCCUAGUUAUUGUGGUGUCACUUAAAAGUUAUUAUCUUUAUCCCUAAUUAUAAUUUUUUUAACUAAUUUAGAAAAAUAAUUAAUUUAAUUAAUCAUAUUAAAUUAAUCAAAUAUUUAUACAAUCAUUCCUAAAUAAUAAAUAUUAAUUAAUGUCGUUAGGCAUUUGUUAAAGAUAAAGAGAAUAUAUUUUAAAAUCGGAUCAGAGUCAUUAAACCGUUAGAGGCGUUAUUGUUGUGUCUCUUAAAUAAAACAUUUUAAAAUGCGAUCAGUCAUUAAAUAGUUUGGGGGCAUUAAUUCACAUCUUAUUGAUAUUAGUUUAAUUAUAGUCGAAACAGAAUUGAAUAGGUAUUAAUUAUGUUAGGUAAAUUUGUAAAUUAACAUAAAAGGAUUAUACUAUAUGUCCUAUAAGAUAAUUAAUUAAAAACUUUAUAAUAAGUAGUUAAAUACAUUUUUAAAUUAAUAUAAAUAAUAUUCAGUAAAAAGAAGUAGUUAAAUAAUAUGAAUUCGUACAUGAAUAUCAUAUACUACUAUAAACCUUUAUUUAUUUCAUUAUUUUAGAAUUAAUACCUUAAAAAAACAGUUCAAAACCGAAUUUUUAGUACCAGAUCUUGAUUUGGGCUGAUUCUUAAUUAAAAAAAAUUUCCCACUUCGGUUUCUUGUGUUAUUAGGCAUUUAGGCUAAUAACUUUUCCUCUAAAAAAAAUGACUAAUAACUUGACUGAUUUCUAUUCCAACUGAUUAAAUUGGUCGGUAUGGUCUAAUUUUAAAGUUAUGCUUAAAGAUAUUUUGAUAUUUAAUAGUUCCUUCGUGAAGAAAUUGUUCAAUGUAACUAGGGUUUACCACUUCUCUUAGAAAAGUUGAACUAAUUCAAAGAAAUACUGAAAUGGGAUGUCACUAUACCUUCCCCUACAAAUUCACUGCAUUCAUCCUACAUAUCAGGUGAAGAAGAAAGCAAAAGUUUCCUAAUAUAUAUCCUAUAUUUUGUUUAUUUGAUUCAAGAAUUCAUUGAACAAGAGAGUCCUCUAGCUUUUCACUAUCGUGAAAUUAAUUAAUAUAAUAUUUAAAACCAAAGGUCCAAUCACAUUCUUUCCCUUUUUUCAAUUGAUAAACCCAAAGCCAACAACUUGAGAAAUCGAUUCUAGAUGUAGGGACAUGUCUGGAGGCAGUCAAUAAGCGAAACAAGAAAGUAAGAGUGCUGUCUCUGAUUAGUUAAUUUAAUUUAUUUGUGGCAUAUAUACCUCCAAAUUAAACAUCAAAGAACUAAACUAUACUAUGUGUAUACCAGAAUCGGUUAUUUAAGAACUGUUUUUGAAUGUAAGGGUUAGAUAAUUACUCUUCGUGGUCUUCGGAUGAUUAAUCUUCGUGAUAACAUUUUCCUUUUUUUACAGAAUUGAUAAUAUUUUUCAGUUACCGAUAAAAAUAAAAUAAAAAUUGUAUCGGUCAUUUUCUCAGUUGCGUUUUUAACAAACAUGUAAAGCAAAUAGUCUUCGGAUAUAUAGGAGCUGGGGAAUAGGGUGAAAAGGGGUGCAGGCGGCGAACUGAAUAAGCAGAAGCACGAUAUGGUGGAUCUUGCGGUUGAUACAAUAAUUUGAAGUAUGCAUGAAUCUAGACAGACAUAGAUUUUCUUUUCUGGGAAAAUAAGAAACAUGCAUCUAUUGCCCAUAAUGAAGUUGGAGUAAAUCAUUAGAAAAUUCAAACCUAGAGGGAUAUUGAACUUUCUUAUAUACCCUUGGGAAUUCGGUCAAGCAAGACUUUUGGUUUGAAUGAUAAAGUAAAAUAAAAAUUCUUUUAUUAAAAAAAAAACAUAACACCUAUUAAUUAUUCAUAAAAAUAUAAAAAUAAUAUUGUUAUCUUAUUAAACUAAACAAACCCUUAACUUUGUUUCUAAAGGGGAACGAAAUUAUCUUUUUCUUUUUUAUUUUGAGUUUUAAUUAUCGCGUCAUGUAGCAUACAAGGAACUUCAUCAGAGAAAAAUUUAACAUUCAAGCAGUUUAUCCGUUAGAGUUAGUCUAAUAGUGUAGAUUCUAAUAUUAUUAUAUCGUUAAUAUACACAAAAAAGUAAUACCACUAUUUAAGCAUAUAUACGGCAAUCUGCGCCAUUUUUAUUCAAUAAGAAAAAAUAAAUAGUAGAAAAUAAUUGUGUUUACCAUGCAUACCUUCAUCUAAACUUCAAUCUCGUCAUUUUUUUUGUUCAACGAAAGGAAAAAAGGAAAUCAAUUUUAACUAAUAGUACAAGUUAUAUAACCUUGUAUGAUAUUUUGAUCAAGAAAAACAUACCUCGACGACGCACCUUCCUUCCAUAACCUAUUUUUUUAUAUUUUUUUAUGGUUUCCCCGAAUAAAUAAUUAUAGGAUUUUUUAUUCAAUAUUUAUAGAUUUAUAAAUGAGUACAUAUGCCCAAAAUUAGGAUAUGAAAGUCUAAGGCAUUUUUAUUUUGGUGAAUGCCUAAGGCAUUAUUGAUUUGGUUAUAUAUACAGCUUACACCGUUUGAACCCAUUUAAUUAAUUAACAGAUCGAUCUCAUUUAGUGGAGGGGCAGUUUAUAUAUCUUAUAUAACUGUACAAGUAAAGAAUAUUCAAUUUGUGUAUGUAGCCUGCAGCUAGUGAGCAUAAAACAAAAACUAGGGUUUUGUUGUCAAAUAAACGCAUGCUUUGAGUCGCAUGGCCAUACUCUAUGAUAUUAAAUUUUGGUCUCUGAUCACUUGAGGAAAUGCGAGGAGCAAUAUCUAAAACCAGCUGAGUAGUUGUAUCUAUAGUUGGAAUUGAAAAGAUAGGGAGCCAAUUGUAUACGACUCAUUAAACUAAUGCUAGUUGUUGACAUAAAGUUUAUCCAGGUCACUGAUACAUCGAACAAGGAGGAAAAUGUUGAUGUUUUGAAAUCCUUAUUUGCCAUUUAACAACAUUACAGUUUUUAUUAAUUGUCAAGUACAUAUGAUUCCACAACUCAUCGUCAUAUAUGAAGUUGUUAUAGAGGAGAAACAUCCACUGAAGUUGCUGGUUUGGUCCUAAAAAAUAUUUUUAAUUUAUUAACUAUAAAAAAAACAUACAUUUAACUAGCUAGCUUGCUUAAUUAGUUGACACAGACAGGCACGACCAUUUAUUUGGAGGAUGGGAAAGAAAACGAGGGGCUGUAAGAAAAUUUGAAAUUUGAAAUGGAUAAAAAAAUGACUGAGGAAAAAAUUUGAAUUUAUAUUUCUUAAUGUGUUUUUCUUUUUCCCCUUUUCCUUCACUUUCUCUGCAAUAAAAUAAGAGAAAAAUUUAAAUUGUAAAAACCUCGCGUUUGUGUUUUUUUCUCUGUCUAAACGUAGGGUAAAGGUUGUGAAACUUUGGUGGUCGAGAUUCUCAUAUUAACGCUGUCAUUAUAUAGAUUCAAUUAAAGGAUAAGAAUCAAAUUAAACACUAAGAACAAAUCCAAUGGAAUUGGUUAAGUUAGUCCUUAAAUUAAGAAACGUUCUUUUUUCUUUGGAAUUAUAACAAAUCAAGCUGGUAUAUAAUUAACUGAUGAAAUUGCUUAAAUGUGUUGCUCAAAUUAAGGAUGCUAGUUAUCAUACCCACAUAUCCUACUAAAUGUUGUGUAGCCAAGUACAAAAUAGAUAACUACUAAAUAUGCAUCUAAGUACAUAAACUUACCUCAAGAUGAAUGAUCUUCUAUUUCAACUUUCUUUUGGUCUCUGGUAGCAUAGUCAAGACAAUGAUGGGUUUUUGCCCUGCCCUAGUAGGUAUGGAGCAAAAAACAUUUUGAGAAUUCAAAAGAAAAUUACGACGAGACAAGUUAUUUUUAAUUAAUAAUAGGUGUUAAGUAAAAGUACAAUGUAUCCAACUAAAACAUAAUAAUAAAUUUAUAUGCUUAACCUUGCUCUUACAUGAUAUGGUCAAUUUGAUCAAGAACUCGAAAUUUAAUUGAUUGAAUCGUGUAGAAAUAAGAUUCAAAUCUAUUGAUUUAUCUCAAUAGCAUAGAUCACUUAACCUAACUGAAUGUCAAAUUUUUUAUUAAUACACUUCCAAAUUAAGUUGUUUUACACCGAUUCAAGAAUAUUUUGUCUGAAAAGAUGCAUCUAUAAUGUCUUAUUUGGUAAGAGAGAGAUAAAGUAGAUGAAAAUAAAAAUGAUGAGUAAAAAUAUGUGAAAAUAAAGUAAAAAAAUGUUUAGUUAAAGAGAUAUAAAAAGAUAACUAGAUAGUAGAUCCCACCAAUUCUAAAAUUAAUUAUCCUCUAAAUCCUCUCAGCAAACACGCCUAGUAAUUUUCAUCUAAUUGUCAUCCCACCAUAUUGAGUAACAUUCACAGCAUGUAAAUCUACUUUUAUUAAUCAUCUUUUUUUAUACAUACAACUCAAACUUAAAAAUUUAAAUAUCUACUGAUUAAAUAAAAAAAUUAUGACUAAUUUUAUACUUUCUUAAUAAUAAUCACCCUAAUAUUUUUUUUAAAAAUAAUAUUAGAUUAAUAAAAUUAAUAUAUUUAAUAUCUUAAAAAUGUAUAAAAAUAAUAAUUUUUAUAUAUUAAUUAAGAAAAUAUUAUAAGAGAGUUUAAAAUGAUUCUACCAGUAUAUACCAUUUGUUUAAAUCAUAUUGUUAGUAAUCAUUAUUCAUUGAAGUUUGGUGCCUAAAUUUUGCCUCUUUUGGUAUUAACUUGACAACAUUAAUUUUAAUUAUUGCUCUUUAUUUCCUUUUUCGAGACUUUAUUAUUAUAUUUUGGCAUCCAAUUGCUGGUUGUUGCUUGAUAAUUAAUAAAAAAUACAAAGGAUUUAUAGCAUAUGAAUAGAAUAACUUCUUUAAGGUUUUUUUCUUUUGAAAUAAGCUUUACUGACCAUUAUUCGGUCAUAUUGAGAUAAUAGUGAAAACUAGCCUAGAGUAACAAAAUCAUUCUUUUUAUACACAUCUAUAGAAGUGAUAAUGAUUUGUGUUUUUUUAAUUAAAUAGAAUAGGAUUUUGAAUUCAGAUUUUGGUAUGGAAUUAAUUGUGUUGGUAAAAAAAAUGUUAUCGACAAAAUUCUAUUUCUUAUAAAACCUCUGAUAGGUGCACACUGCACACAAUGCAUAAACUUUAUAAAUAUUAAAAAAUUGUAAUAGUUAAGAAAUUUGAAAACCAAUAAUUAAUCUUAUAAAAAAUUAAGUUUACCGCGGAUAUAAGUAUAUGAUGAAGAUAUAAUCUUUCUCGGUGUAUUAAUAGAAUCUAAUUAUGUUCAUGUUUGACAUUUAAAACUUUCACCCUGUUAAUCAUGAACUUCAAUUAUUUUUUGCUGGUCUUUAAGAAAAAUUGAGGGAAGCCACGCGUAUGUAUACAACGAAUGAAUGUGUCGGAAAAAUGGAGAGGGAAGAAAUUGAAACACAUCGAAGUUAUUUGUAGUUGUAACCACUGAAUAGGCUAUUUGGCGUUGCUUAUAAGAGAAUAGCAAAAACGUAAAAUUUCCGGGUUUUCCAAUGUUCCACUCUAGUUUGCCCACGUCAUAACAAUGAUUCAUGGUGUUGACAUCACUGUCACACUAAGAAAAAAAAAAUAAACAAGGCCCAAAACAAAAACACUUUGUAAAAAGCAACAAGCAAGAUAAGUAUUAGAUGAGGAAGUAAGUCAGUUUACAACAUGAAAUAGUAGGAGAAAAUUUAAGUUUAAUUUUCGUAGAAUUAGAGUUGUAAAAUAAAUUAAGUUGGACUAAAAAUGUUGAUUUAAAUAAAACUGAGUCUAUUUGAGUCUGUCCGAUGGAUCAUUAGUUAGGAAAAGAUUUGAGUUUAAUUUUCAUAAAAUUAGAGUUACAAAAUAGAUGGAGUUGAAGAGUAAAAAUGUUGAUCCAAAUAAAGUUAGAUCAAUUUGGAUCAAUCCGAUGGAUCCACUUUAUUGGCAAAACUCAAAAAAUAUAGGUCUGCAUUCAACUAAACCUAUUUAACUCAAUAAAUUCUUUUUCUUUAAAAUUUGUAUAAAUUAAGAAAUCAGAUUUGUAGGUCUAUAUGAACGAGCUUACCUAAUAGGUCUACAAAUCUGAUUAGACCAAAAGAAAGAAAAUUCAUAUAAAAAAUAGAUUGAUUCAAUUCAAUUUAUUUUUUACUUUGAACUGACGACUUAAGCUGAACCAACCCGUUUAUUUUGUUAGUUUUAGGUAUAAUACUCUCUUGAAGAGAAACCAAGAACUUAAGUGUGAACAAACUCCAAACUAAAUAUUAAUGUUAUAAUCAAUUAAAAAAUCAAAAUAUAUAAAAAGAACUCUCGAAAUCCAAUCAAAAAGUCAAAAACCUUAAUUAAAAAAAAUACGAUAAGUAUUAAUUCAUCCUCCGUUAACCAGCAAAAAAUGAUCCUUCUAGCCCCUUCCUUUCCAAAAAUCCAAAAAGGCAAAAGUGUCCAAUGCACAUAUUCUCAAGAAAGAAAAUAGGCGGGCAAGGAAAGUCAUCUACAAUAAAUGACUCUGCACAUUGAAUCAUGAGGAAUUAGUAAUUUUUUUUAUACAAGGUACAUUUUAGUUGGUUGAACCGAGACAUUGCUUGAUCUUGGACAGUGACCCCUUUGGCAUAUACAAUGACUAGGACUUGACCACCGAUCCUUGUCCCUUUCUAUACCAAUAAAAUCCCUCCUCUUCUCCAUCACCCCUCUUCAUUCCCUCUUCUUCCUUUCUACUUUCUUUUUCUCUCCUUCUAUGAUAUUAUAAUUAUCUUCAUUCCAUUGCCUCAAAUAUUCACUCACCUCACUAGCUACUCACUCAUCAAUCACUUAUCAUAUUCUUCACUCUCUUUGCCUCUCAAUGUGGUUUUUUCAACAAGGGUUAUUAUUAGGUGAAGAUGAUGAUGGUGCAUCCUCGUGAUCAAGUAGGUGGAGAGACACACAAGAAUUUGGUGGAGCCAAACGUGGCAGCUUCUAAGAAAGCUAGAAAUUGUGCAUGCAUGGUAAGUUACUCGGUGUUGAUUUUGGCUCUUCUCACUUUGUCCAUUUUGUUGCUACCUUUGGUGUUACCUCCUCUGCCGCCACCACCCUUGUUGCUUCUCUUUGUUCCAGUUUUCAUCUUGGUGGUUCUCUUUUUCUUGGCCUUUUCACCCUCCACACUACCCAACAUGGCUGUUCUUACAUCAUGAUGUGUAGAGAAUCUUGUAGCCUUUCAAUCAAAUCUAUAUAUGCAUUGUAAGUUCAAGAAGAAUAAGCACUAGUGGAAUGAAUAUAUCUUGAGUUAUGAAUUUAUGAUUGUAUCUAUUUUGCUCAAUUCCUCUUCUUGUUACUUUGUUUUGUAUCUAUGAUCUGAUUGUACCAAGAAAAUGUUAAAUUUUUGAAGCAGAGUAAUGACUAACUAAACGGGAAGUACUGUGCAAUUUGAGUCUUGGAAAUGGUUUCAUGAUCUGGAUUUUUUUAGUAUUUAUUAUAUAAUGUAUACAUGCCUUGUUACCUAAAUAGCACGCUGCAAAUUAAUGAAGUCACGUGAAAAGAUAGAUAAAGAUGAAAACUGUUGGCUGGAAUUUUAUAUAUAUAUAUUUUUUCUAAAUUUUUAGUAUCUGGGGAGAAAAAGUAAUGUAGGGUGUUAUAAAUGUUGUUUGGGGGGGAUGUAUUUGACUAUUUUCUUUCUUUUGAUUAAGUCUUCUGAAAAUGGUAGUUUGGUUGAGAACAUGUAAAGAAAUUUAUCUGCGAACGAGAUUGUGGAAUUUGCUGGCCAUUAGUCAAUACCAACCAUAAUUAAGCUCAAAUAGCAAUCCUUUCCACCAACGUCAUAGAGGGCUUUUGAAGUAAUUAGUACUCCUACAACUAUUAGAGAGAGAAAGAGUCAUUAAUUAAAGAUGUCAGG
rnacentral:lncRNA from 1 species